rnacentral:lncRNA from 1 species
ACCCCAGAAACUCACGCAAAAGAACGACCGGAAAACUGUACGUCGGUCUGUCGAAGAACAGCAAAGGCUGCAGUAAGAAAAAUCUAGAAAAAUAUGGAAAAAUAUGGGUUAGAAGGGUAUCGACACAAGCUUUCCAGCAAGGGCAAGAUCACUCAAAACGGAUGUCGGACAAUGGAGAAAACUGAGAAACACCGGGCUGCAGCGACGCCGGAAAACGGAUGCAGAAACUUGGAAGCUCAGAAAGUCCACCUUACAAACCGAAUUUGGGGGUCAAAGUGCAGGGCAACGCCCUGGAUAUUUCCUGAUGCGCCUCGUCCUGAGCUUUCCAAAAAGUCCAAGAACGUCCAAAUCCGAGUUGGUACGCAAAAGAUACGCCCGUUUUACUGAACACGGGUCAAACCCACCCGAAACUAAAAUUCUACUCGGACUCGGGUCCGAAACUGACUCGAACUCUUUUUUUUUUUCUUUUUUUUUUCUUUCUUUCUUUCCUUUUUUUUUUUCUUUCCUUUCUUUUUUUUUUUCAAAUUUCCAAACAACUUGAUCUCUAAACAAAAUUCGAUCUAUGAUGAAACACUUUCCAAAAGCACUCCUUAUUGGACUCGGACUCGGAUUCGCGGCUGAAAACUAUAACUUGCCGACUCGGUGUAGGACUCGAAGAGGGACUCGGUGUAGGACUCGAUGAGGGACUCGGUGUAGGACUCCAAGAGGGACUCGGUGUAGGACUCGAUGAGGGACUCGGUGUAGGACUCCAAGAGGGACUCGGUGGAAGAUAUGGUGGCGGCGGAAGAUUAUGGCGGUGGUGUGGCAGGAAGUUUGGCGGCGGAAGAUUGAUGAAGGAAACCUGCGUCACACGAAGAACAAGAAAACCAAAAGCAAGUUCGAUCUAGUAGAAAAAAUCUGAAAAACGAUCCAAUCUAAUCCAGCAACUCGACACGAUUAAUGCAGCAAAGAUUCAACAAUGCAAAUACUAAUGUGAAAAUUGCAAGGCUCAGAUUGGUUCUAGGACAAGGUAACUAAUUCUAAUUUUUGUUUGGCUUUUUCUGGACGAUAGGUAAAAACAGAUCUAAACUACGGAUAAACUGGAAAAAUCUCACCGAGCAACCUUAAGCUCUGGUACCACGUGAUACGGGUGCGGGUGGCCCGAUCUUUCGAUGAGAUUGGUAACUCUCGAUUUGGGUAGGAGGUGACGUUGACGAUCCGACUACGGCCUAGGAGGCAGCGCCUUAGCAAUCGAUACACCAACUCCAAAGGGUUAUUGAUCACGCGGGGGCACGAUCAACCUGACCACGAAGGUCUUUGUUCCUGCAAGCAAUCGAAGAACAAGCAAGAACAAGAUAAAUAGCGGAUGCAAUCUAAAAUUGCGAAUAUACUAUAUCAAACCAAUGUCUCAACGAGACGAUAAGUUGGGGUUCCGAAAGCGGUAAAACAGGUGGUCUAACCGACACACGCGAUUACACGAAGUAGUAGCGAUGGCUAACUUUUAACUAAACAAAACCCAAGGCUCCUUAGGGGGGUUCAUGGGGUAUAUAAAGGAGGAGGGAGAGAUAUUUUCGUCCACCUUGAAUAAGGAGUCCGAAAUCCAACUCUAUCUCUAACUUUCCUAACAAACUACAACUCUUUAGGAAACAGAAAAACAGAUCCGUCAGCUUGUUUUGUCCGCCACGGUCAGCACGAGUCGAAUCUCUUGAUGGGGCCAGAUCCGUUGGAAAGGUCUUGUAAUUACCUUUCCAACAAGUACUUGUUUGCUUGAUUUGGACUCCGGAUGCGGCCUGGGUGAUUAAAACAAAUUCGGGUCUCCUGACAGCUCGGACCCGAAUCGGAUUCAACUUUAAUUCGUGAUAUCUUUCUCUAGCAAGCUCCGAAUCAUGUGCCGUUUGAUUUGUUGGAAAGUAGACUUGAUAGGCUUCACUUUGAAUCUCCCUUUGCAGGCUAUAACACUUCAUCUUCACUUUGGACUUGUAAAGUUCAAUAAGAUGCCUACAUAAUAAGAUUACACAAGAUAGUAGCUCCGCCUCUUUGCAACUAACAUAUUGAAAACAUUUUGUAAUUGAAUUCACCUGAUUAUAAUUAUUAGAGACACCAGCAAUUAGGGUUCUAAUGGUCGUAUCCAUGGUUAGCAUGUCCAUAUCAUCCUCCCUUUCUUGAAAGGAAAGCCGUCCUCGGCGUCGUUUAUGCUGAAAAUAUGCUAACAAAAGAGACAAGGUAUGCGCAUGGUAUAUGUAUAUGUCGUCAAUUUUAACUCCACUCCCAUGCUGCACAUUCGAUGUUUCACGUAAAUAAAACUCAUAAUAGUGCAAAAGAUUAAUAGUCAUAUUCCAACGGCAAGUAUCACAUUUUAAUUUGUAAUUCUCAUCAUUAAACCAUACUAAUGUAGGUGAACAAUAAUUCAAAAUUCCCAAAUGGCGAGCUACAAUAUGCGUCAAUGUGCAAUCAUGCCACAAGUUAUUUGUCGUACAACUAUCACCAAUAUUAGAGGUCAUAUCAAAAUGAUUGAGCAUACACAAAAUAUUGUUGUCUCUCAAAUCAAGAAAGUUAUCACAAGCAAUGCAAAUCUGAUGCACCAAAACUUUAUUGUUGACAUCAUGUUCUCCAAUUAAUUGAAUAGUGUAUCCAUGGGCAUUAGCAAAAGAUUUUGAAAUUGUUAACUCAGAAACUUUAUCCAUUGCAUGUGACAAAUAUAUAGGUGUAUCAAGUGUAAUAUAACACAAAGAAUUAAUAGGUGGAUCCUUAUCAAUCACUCCAUGUCUAAUCAACUCGACACAACCUAAAUCAAAUUUAUCUAUCUCAUUUGUUUCGCCCAAAACAUUAGUUAUUUCCUCACAUGAUUCGUUCUCAUCAAAAUCAAAAUUAAUUUGUGCACUCAAAUCAUUAGAAAAAUUAAUUUCAGCAGUAGGUACACUUGAAUCACCAUGUACGACAAUAAUUUCACAUGGUGCAGAAAAUUCAACAGGUAUCACAUUUAUUUCAUCACAUGCCCUUUUUAGUUCAGCAACACAAUCCUCUGUGUCACUACCUUGUGGGCUCGACUCAUUUGUAGUAGACCCUCGCUGUAAUUUCCUCUCAACUUUACGAGCAAGAUUAAGCAAACACAAAAGAGAGUCGUAUUUUCCGUAUUCAAUUAUGUAAGAAAUAUCAAAGUUAAGCCCACAAUAAAACCUAUCCAUUUUUCUUUGUUCGGUUUCAUCUAAACCAGAUCGCAAGGUUAAAAUUUGGAACUCAUGGUAGUAAUCCUCAACAGUUUUAUCAUCUUGUGUCAAACGUCGUAAUUUGGAACGCAACUCAUAAGCAUAACUUGGAGGAACAUAUUUUUCUCUCAUGAUUUUCUUCAUAUCAAUCCAAGUGUGAGGUAUUUUGUUUUCUCCAACUAUCUCACUCCACCAUGAUAAUGCAUCAAAACGAAAUCUACUACUAGCAAUUUGGACCUUACGACUAUCUAGUACAUGGAAGCAUGUGAAUUGCUCAAUUAGAGCUAUUUCCCAAUCAAUAUAAGCUUCAGCAUCAUUAUUUCCAUCAAAGAAAGGUCCAAAACAAUUAGUGACAUUACAAGGAUUGCGAUAUACCUUUUCCUUGCCAAUGUCAACAAGAGACGAGGAGGAUGGAUGUGGUGAAAAACGCUCAUGUCGGUCACUUGAUAGCAUAGGUCUAUUUUCCAUCCUUUGUGUAAGUCCUGUCAUGGUGUCCGGGUGGCCCGAUCUUUCGAUGAGAUUGGUAACUCUCGAUUUGGGUAGGAGGUGACGUUGACGAUCCGACUACGGCCUAGGAGGCAGCGCCUUAGCAAUCGAUACACCAACUCCAAAGGGUUAUUGAUCACGCUGGGGCACGAUCAACCUGACCACGAAGGUCUUUGUUCCUGCAAGCAAUCGAAGAACAAGCAAGAACAAGAUAAAUAGCGGAUGCAAUCUAAAAUUGCGAAUAUACUAUAUCAAACCAAUGUCUCAACGAGACGAUAAGUUGGGGUUCCGAAAGCGGUAAAACAGGUGGUCUAACCGACACACGCGAUUACACGAAGUAGUAGCGAUGGCUAACUUUUAACUAAACAAAACCCAAGGCUCCUUAGGGGGGCUCAUGGGGUAUAUAAAGGAGGAGGGAGAGAUAUUUUCGUCCACCUUGAAUAAGGAGUCCGAAAUCCAACUCUAUCUCUAACUUUCCUAACAAACUACAACUCUUUAGAAAACAGAAAAACAGAUCCGUCAGCUUGUUUUGUCCGCCACGAUCAGCACGAGUCGAAUCUCUUGAUGGGGCCAGAUCCGUUGGAAAGCUCUCGUAAUUACCUUUCCAACAAGUACUUGUUUGCUUGAUUUGGACUCCGGAUGCGGCCUGGGUGAUUAAAACAAAUUCGGGUCUCCUGGCAGCUCGGACCCGAAUCGGAUUCAACUUUAAUUCGUGAUAUCUUUCUCUAUCAAGCUCCGAAUCAUGUGCCGUUUGAUUUGUUGCAAAGUACACUUUAAAUCCUUCCCUCUCAGCUGUAUGAAUGCUUGAUUCUUGUUGGCCCUCCCGUUCGCCUCCAUCGUAUCUCAUCUUGACCUUGGACUUGAAAAGCUCGACAAGAUGCCUACGUAAUAAAACGAGACAAGAUAGUAGUAGCUCCGCCUCUUCAUAAAUAUGACAAUGAAAACAAUUAGUACUUGAAUUCACCUGAUUAUAAAUCUUGUCAAAUAUUAUAGAAUUGAGGGCACCAAAGGUCGUAUCCAUGGUUAGCAUGUCCAUAUCACCUCGCCGGCGCCGUUGCAUACCUCCGUGCCGACGACCUCUUCUCCGGCCGCCUGCAUGAGCCCCGCAUCCACGUCCUCACCCAUGUGCAGCUGUUGUCUUCGCUCCGCCACCCUCUGCUCGACCUUGCCGCCAGCAGCACCCCUGCCUCUUCUCUCGAGGCCGCCCGCUACUCCAGCAAGCUGGCCGCGACUCCCUCGACCCGCCGGUGCUCGCCCGUGUACCUCGUCGCCGUCUGCAACCUCCCUCCGGCCCGGCUGGGCACACAGGCCCAGGCCGAAGACCAUCUCCAAAACCCAGGCCCGUGCCCUCUUUUCCCUCUUUUCUUCUUUUUCUGGAAAUUGCUAAUUCUUGACGUGUGGGCCCUAUUGGCCAGCGCCUCUCUGCUGUUGUACUUGGCUUUGUGUUGUUGCUGUGAUGCUGUUGGCGCUGCCCUGCGUGUGCUUCGCCGUGCCGCUGCCCAAUACCUUGUUGUGGACCGCGGAGAUCGACGACUGACGAACCCCGAAGAUGGAGCCUUGAACGACUACUUCGCCGCGACGACUACAUCGCCUACGUGAACAGCUAUUUCGCCUACGACGGCUACAUCGUGUAAAACUACAUCAACUACUUCCUCUACAUCGCGACACCGCACUUGUCCAAGGUAUAACGAGCGACCGUCCCGUGAACCGACUGUUCUUCGGCGUAGACCCGUAGGUUGCGAUCGAUGACAUUCAUGUGUUGUAUGAGAUGCCCGUGAUUGUACCGAUAGUAUUAGUUGCAGGUACGUCAUUGUCACCGGCGUGUGCAACCCCGACCUAGUCGGAUCUUUGUGUUAUUCUAGUUAAAGCAUGCACUUGCACCUAUUGAUGUCAUUGUCAUGCAUGCUAAUACAACUAUAACAUUGUUGUGUGUAUUUAAUCAAUUAAACUCUAUUCCUUGCAUAUGGAGUUGUAUAGAAGUUAUGUGUAGUAUUUUCGGACUCCAUUUAACUUGGUAAAAUAUAUAUCGGAUUCACUUUCGGAAUCCUUAAUAUGACAUAAAUCAUCCCUAUGUCAUGCAUCAUUCUUUGAUUGCGCAUAUUAAUUACCAUGUGUACCUUGUAUGCUUAUACUUUCCUUUUAUGUCGUGUAUUUGCUUCUUCCUCGCUAGUCUUUGGUUCCUACGACGACGAUUACACUUGUGUUCUUCUUCCAGGAUUCUUACUCAAUUCCGGGCAUUAAGUUACGAUCUCAGUCUUGUCACGAUGCCAUUAGGAUUGCAUAGCUUAUUAGUCAGUUCCACUUAUUGCCUUAUGUCUUGUUACUUGUCCUAAUACCAUGUCACAUGUUUGUUGUUUCCCUACAUUUUGGUCAUUAGAUGUCAUGCUUAGUUGCGAGUCUAGUGUCCUUAUAUCUGGGGUUCCACAAUUGCUAUUGUCGCACCAGUGGCACCCGGAGUACCACCGUUGCGCGACGCGUGGGCCCUGUCUCCGAGUUCCCGGGAGGACUUUGUCCCGGGCAGCAGCCAUGAGCAGCCCGGCAAGCUACCAGCCCGGAAGGGCUAGCGGGGCUUCGGGGAAUAUUCCCGCCUGGACACCUCCCGGGAACCCACUUGCCGGGAGAGGGGUUGCUGGGCGUGUCGGGCCUGGGUGCCUCCUGGGAAGCCACUUGCCGGGAGGAGGCGUUCCCGGGCGUAGGCUCCCCCCGCGAGGGAGGGGGCCCAGCGGGCCGAGCAACAGCGCCAUGUGGGCGCAUGCCGGGCGUCAAGUACGCAGUCUCGGUAGGGCCAGGAGUGAAGCGCACGGUGCAUUAAAUGAGGCGACAGGAGGGGCAUUACCCGUCCAUAUCAGGUGAAUAGUAGCUGUCCAAUCCUACCUUUAGGGUUUUAGACCCCUGGCAGCGGAGGUGGCAUCCAUGCACGCCACCAGCUCACCGAGGGGGAGUUGCAUGUCUCCCUGAUCGACACUUGUAAUGCAUGCCCGCGGCACCUGUGGUAUCCCCUUCAGUAUAAAAGGAGGACCCUCGUCGACAGCCAAAGGGUUCGAGGAAAAACAGGGUUUCACGGUUCACAAUCUGACGGGUAGAUGGACUCACACUUAGCCAUUAGCAGUACCCUAAAGCAGUGAAGAGCACUUAGCCAAAAAGAGAACGCCCGGGGGACCCUCCCCCCCGGCAACGUGUAAACACUUGAUCUAUAGUCAAUACAAGUUCAGACAAGCAGGACGUAGGGUUUUACACCUCCGGGUGGCCCGAACCUGGGUAAAAACGUGUGUGCAUGUGUUCUUAGCUUGCAUGCAUCCUGGGUACACUACUUUGCAGGUUACAUACGCCAUCGGCCACGCUGGAGAUUGCCGGAGCGAACCCCGACGCCCCUGCCAAACCUAAAAAGGGGGCAUGACCGCACGCCCCUGGUGUCGGAGCCCCGUGCGACGACAUCUAGCGCGAGAGGACAGCUUGCCGGUGACCGCCGGCAGCGGUGUUUGCAUCGACGUCGGCUUCGUCUUCUUCACCGACAGGACCGGCCACCAUGCCCCCCAAGCGUGCUGGUGACCCUUGGAUAGACUCACGUGAGGCCCCAGCGGCACACACGCGGUCGCAUGACGUGCGACCCACGUCGGGGGCUCAGGAGAAUCCGGAGCCCUCGAGAGUGCAGCAAUCACAGCUGCCUCCCCCGCCUCCUCGGCCAUCUGCAGACAAUCGGCUGAGGGGACCAGCGGCCCCUAGUGCCGAGGCCAGCUACGCGAGCGGGCAUGGUGCCGCCCGCACUGGUGUAACAGCCGAGAGCAACUUUUACAUUUAAGCCCUUGUUUGGACCUGUUUGUAAUUUAUUCAAAUGCUGCAUGACAAUUACAUUUGCAUCCAUGCCAUGCCAUGUCUGUUGUUUGUGUCACAUGAGUUUUAUAUUUGCAUCUCAAAUUGUGGUUUGAAUUCUUGUUGUGUAUUUUUGUUAGAAGAUUCAAAUAUGAAUCACCCUCCUUUGAGUUUGAAUUCUUUUCCCUCUAUUUUUUCAAAUGAGAUUCAAAUGGGUUUUGCUUUAAACCUUAAACCCCAUUUGAAUAUUUCCAAAUACUAGUACCAUAUUUGAAUUCUACUACUUCUCCGCUUUUCAAUAUGGUAUUUGAAAUUUGAGUCCAAAAGCAUUUGCAAAAACAGAAAAUAGAAAAGGGAAAAAGAAAAAAUACAAAACCUUACCUGCUCACUUGGCCCGAGCUGACCCUACCGCCUCGGCCCGCCUUCCUCCCGCGCGCGCGAGCAAGCCACCCCGCAGCGCCGGCCUCGUGGCCCCCUUCCCCGCGCAGCCCCGCCGCCCAGCAUUCUUCUGCGCGCUCUCGCUUCCCGUCUCCCCGCAGUGAAAGCGUAAAAUCCCAGAAUGCACUUUGUCUCACAGCUCUCUCUUCUACCUCUGCUUUUCUUCCUUCCGACCGGUGAGCCCCCCCGGCCACGUCGUCUUCGAUAGCGACAGCCACGCCUCCCCCUCGCCUACUUAAGCCGCGCCGCACCUCCUCCUGCCCGCGCCGCCUCUAGGAAACCCUAGUUAGGGUUUUCUCCUUCCCCUUCUGCGCAGCGUCAUCGCCCCGCUCCUUCGGCCGUGGACGCCACCGCGUCGCGCCACCGUCUCCGGCUGAACGGCGGCAAGCCGACCGCGUCACCCGAACCGCGUCGACGCUUGCUAUGUCUACGUGCGAGGAAUUGGACGGAGGACACCUACAUCAACGCCUAGGUCGUCUUCCCCAUCUUCGGCCGCCGCCUCUUCUCCGACAAAUUCCGGCGAGGUCGUCGACUCUUUCCUCGUCCGCUUCCUCCUGAAGAUCCGGGGUGAGAUGUUCUUCCUCCUGCCUCUUUCCGCGCUGCUUUUCAUGCACCGUAGCACCGUACCCGCAAGCGCGCGCUCCGCCGUGCGCCGGCAAGCUUCGGCUCGCCGCCGCGCCGUCGUCUCCUUAAGGAUGCUGUGAUGGCGUUCGUGCCAUCUAGACUCUCUCCGCGCGCCGCUUCUGUUUUUCCUUGUUAGGGAGCCCCUACGCCGCUAGCUUGGUCGCCGGCUUCCAUGCUCGCCGUGGCCACCGCGCGUGCUCCCAAGCCGCUCGCUUGGGCUGAGUUAAGAGGGCUUGCGCCCGGGAUCUUGUAAGAUCCGAACCGCAGCCCGCCUGGUUACCUUGCUCGUCCGUUCGCUUCACACCGACCCGACCCGGGUUUGAUCCCCCGCGCCGCGCGGAAUAAAACCCCCCUUUUUAACAUCUGUCCGAGAUUGAAAGGUGGCCCGGUCAGUCAGCGAACGCGGGCUCCCAUCCGCGUCAGCGCCACGUCAUCGAGGUUCUGGUCCCGUUUGUCAGUGACCGUGGCUAGCUCCCCUUCAGUGUAAAUUGUUUUGAUUGUUUGUUUUCUUUUAUAAAAUCCCAGAAAAUGCUUUGAUCUUGUUUUAUUUGUAGAAUAUUCAUUCUAGGUCCAAAUAAUACAAAGUCUGUAUGUUUUGGAAUCAGAAAAAUGCAAGGAAUUUAACUGUGCAACUAGAUUUACAUUUUGAGGUUUCAAAAUUUAAAUCUGUCCCAGAUUUGAAAUUCAAAAGUAUGAACUUGUUUAGUCUCUAGUUUAAAAUUGUUAACUCUUCUGUGGAUAGUGUAAACAUCAAAGUUGAUCAAUGUAACUUGUAGAACAUAGUAGCAUACCUGGUUAGGCCAUUUGUGUAUUUUAAAGCUGUUGUUUACCAUGUUCUAGUCACCUAAUGGUUAAUUUUGUUGCUAAAUGGAAUCAUUUUCACUUGCAUCUUGUUGCAUCAUGUUGUCACAUGCCAUCUCAUGUUGUAUUGUGCAUUGCACCUACGAAUUGUUACUUAUUUGCGUAUUGUGUGAUUUGGAUCUUUACGUUAGCGACUCCAACUUACUCCGUCGACGAUCCGGGUUCCCACACUUCUUCGGAUCCCCUCUCUCGGUGCCCAGCGACCGAGAAUCCAGGCAAGCAGCCAUUCCUUGAACAUGUUGAUUAUACCAAUGCCUCUCUCUCAUUCUUGCAUUAAGUUACGUUCUCGGUUCUUGUCACCAUGCUUCUAGGACUGCAUAGCUUUAGUCAGCUCUACUCAAAUGCCUGUUGUCUUGUUCCUUAUCCUAUAACCAUGUCACAUGUUUGUUAUUGCCCUAGUUGGUCAUUAGAAGUUGCUAGUCUAGUGUCCUUACUUGGGGUUACACAAUUGCUACAUCCACAUGCUACUUUUCUGUAUUUAAUUGCAAUUCUUUAAACUGUGACUUGUUAUUACCUGCACAAGGCAACGAUGGGAGACCGUGCUAACGCAUUGGUGUUUUGUUCCAUUGGAGUCGACCUAAGGACUGAGUUCUCGUUUUCGCCGACCCAAGAGGCUCACCUCUCAUGGGAGAAUAUAUGGGUUCCCCCUCGGCUUAGUACUUGUUUCAUAGCUCUUCUAGGGCCACAUAGUUCAGGCAUUUCAUUUGGCAUAUCGUAUAUACACUGGUGUUGUGUUUGGAGACUUGUUGAUACUUUGCAUACAUAUAGGAUUGCGGCACUAGUCUGGAGUGGUCAUUCUGCGGACACUGAACCACUACCAGCUGUCCACGCAACUCUUGAGUCCGUACAACGCUUCGGCCGGGCUCUCGUUUUGGAUUAGACUCAGUUGGGUGGUCCCCUGGAUUAGUUGUGGGGCUUGGAAACGUCGUGUCGCUCAAUCCUGCCGGCACAUGCUUUUGCGUGUGUUUCAUGCUAGUGGCGUCAAGGGUAGGACGAACGUGUACGGGUAAAUUGGCACACCCUGCAGGGAUAAAUCUUUCGGAAAGCCGUGUCCGCUGUCAUGGACGACUUGGUUGGUCAUUACUUGAUCAUAGAGAACUCAUACCAAUUGAUUAACUUACUUUCCUAAAUCUGAGUAGUACUUAGCCUUAAUCAUGGAUAUGCUUAAAACUGCUUAAGUGUGAGUUUCCUUUGGAUUGCUUCCUCAAAGGGUGUUGAGGGGGUGAUAUGAGGUUUGUGUUGUUUGGUGUUUAGUAAAUAGGUUAAUCACCUCACUUGGUAGACGCUCCUUAUCCUCAUCUAGACGAUGUCAUUAGCGUGUCUCUCCAGAUAUAUCGCUGCUGCAUAACCCACCUUUUAUUCAUCCUUUGAGACUUGUUGCAUAUCUAGUUUAGAUCUCUCGUAAGUCUUGCAAGUACUUUGUACUCAGUUGGUUUGCAACGUUGUUUUCUCCAGAGUUUCCGGAGGAACAGGUGAGUGGUUACUUCGUGGAGUUUGACGACGACAGCUUCGACGUUUAGCCAGAAGAUACCAGAGCAGGGUUUUGUGAACUUGUGGUGGCUCUCCUUUACAGUUUCAGCCUCUUAGGCAAUAAUUGUAACUUGUCCGUACUCGGGCCUAAUUUGCUUCUGCUGGUGUAAUGAUGAUUGUGGGCAUGUGUCCGUGAGUUGUAAUAACUUGGUAUUUUGCUCUAUGUAUGAGCUUGACUUAAUUCUUGUGUCUUAGAGUGAUGUAAUGAUAUCAUUGUUGUUCCAACCUGCGGUGAACACAUUGCGUGUAUGUUGUGAAGUGUUCAUCGUAGGGGGGCACUGGGGCUUGAUUUAUGCGCGAGUUAGCAUUUGGGGCUAAAUUGCAUAAAUCCAGUCCCGGGGUCUCACAAUUUGGUAUCAGAGCCUCGCUGCCCUUAGGUUUCUCCCUGGUUAGAAAUGGUCAAAGUUGAGUCUAGUAACUAUUUUCAUCUAUAAACUCAUGAGGCAAAUCGGUUUCUGAUACCAGCCGGAGUACACGGUAUUUGAGGAUUACCGUGACUUCAACCAGGAGUAUCUACCGUGCCGUUGUCUGCCUCCACCAAGACGUGCCUUCAGAAAAGUUUCCGGUGCACAAAGCAAUGGGAACUGGGCAUACCAUCGAGUUGGCAAUCCAACAGGUGGCGUACAUGUGCGUGACCCUACUCCACAGGAAGUACGAAAGGCUGGACAAAGGACCGUUCAAGCAUAUCCCAAGAGGCUUCAUCACAUGCGAGAACAAGUUCUUCACACUUCCAGGCUUCCCGAUGAGAAGGUUGCGAAUGACAGCUAUGAUCUCUGCAACUUCGUGUCAAGCCAGGAGCCCAUGAUGGCAAACAUGCGCGCCGAGAUCGUCCACUACCGCAAGCAGCUGUGGAUAGCACUUGGUCACCUCUCCGCCGUGGUUGAUGCAGGAAUGUACGAGAAUGAAGUUCGCUAUCCUCCAAGACCUCCUGCUCAUGAGGGACUCCAUGCGUUUCCAGUGGAUGGGUUUACUCCAGCACGUGGUCCACCAAGAGUGUAACAUCCCAAAAUUUUCAAAUACGGAUGUUCGCACCUUUUCAUUUCUUAUGCAAUAUUGGUGUUCGUUAUGAUGCAUUAUUGAAAGUGUUUGAAAUGGUGUUUUGGAAUGUUUUAGGUUGAUAGAAAUUGAUUUGAGAAUUUUCUAGAAUUUAAAAAUGCAUUCUAGGAUUUUAUUUGGAUUUAUUUAAAGCUUAAAAACCUUAAAACUAUUUUUGUUAAUUUAUUUUUGAGUGGGAAUAAUUUUCCUGGACUCUAAAUGAAAUAUACUAUUUUACAUAACUUUUUGCAAUUUUUCUGAUGCCAUUUGAUAUUUUAAAUGAUUUUAAUGGAAUUUCGGGUUAAUUAUAGAUCUUGAAAAGUAUUUAUUAAUCCUUUUCUUUUAUUCUUUUUCUUUUUCCUCCGGAAAUACGCUUUCUCCACAGGAAAACGUAUUCUUAGUGGGUAGCCUUAUUCGCAGUAGUUCUUCUUGUUGUCCGUAGUAUCAUUUUAGUUGUUUCUUUCUGUAGAUUGAACUUUAGGAACACCCCUUCACAGCCAUUUCCUAGUUGGACCAUUUCAACUUCACCUUCACUAGCAGCACGACGGUAGAAGUUCACAUAUCCUAUUCUGUUCUGUUUUAGAGUAGCCAUAUUCACCUGUUCAUAGCUACUGCCUCAUAUCUCCAUAGUUAGUGAAACCAGUGCCAUUUGAAAGAGUAGAUCAUAUUCUUGGAUUCCUUUGUUUAUUUCUCUGUCAUUGGAAUAGUUUAGCACCAGUAGCUUUUCAGUAGAAGUUAGUAUUCUUUGUCUGUCAGGAUCUGACUAGCCACUUUUGCAAGCUAGUAACUUUUGAUCUAUUUAUCAUUUUGACCUGAAACCUGCUGCGUUAGUUAGUAUAAUCUUAGUAAUGUACUGUAGCAUAUGUUUCAUGCCAUGUUCUGUACUUUAGCACCUUUUACCUGUCAACCCUAGUUGCAAUCUGUUAACAGUAGCAGAUUACUGAAUUUUCAGACUUAGCCACACUAGCCUUAACCUUAAGCUUUAGAACUUGAAUUGUUAAUACUAUGGUAUUACUUAGAUGACAUUUAGGUUCUGUUUUUGUAUGCUUGUGAUACAUCCUUUAUCCGAAGUUCAUUUGGAGUCAUAUUUGGAUUUUGAGAGAUGUUUGGAACUAUGCAUUUAUUGUUGUUUCGUUCUUCAUGUUAGAUUAUUCGGAUUGCGAUUGCAACGAGUGCCAGGGAGUUGAUGACCGCAACAACUUUUCUGAACCAGGCAAGUUACACUUAUUGAUCAUGUAGUACCUAUAUUUUUGCUUAUGCUAUUUUGUUUACAACAUCAUAGGGAUGCAUGUUAGAGUUACUUUUAUAUGAAGUAUGUUUAAAUGCGUUUGCAACAUGUUUAGUUAUUCCUAGUAGAUUGCUUAUAGGAUUUUAUUACCAUGCCACCAAAUACCAUAGAUUAUGUAUUUACAUUUUUCCAAAGCAUUCUAUACUAUUAUAACGGGACGGGACCCAAACUAUAUUGAAAAGUAUUAAGUGCUCUUUAUGAGCGAGUAUGUUUUUGGAAAAAUGUUUUCGAAAUAAGAACAAAAUGUAAAACCAGCAAGUCAAUCAGGGCAACAAUGCAAACAGUGGAGCUAAUGACAGGGUUUCCAUCAAGGAGUUUCUUGCUCUCAAUCCAAGGACUUUCUCUCUACCUUCAGAACCACUUGAUGCUGAUGACUGGCUUCGUGAGAUGGUUUGCGCUCUUUAAACGGCUCGUGUGGCAAAUGAGGACAAGGUUCCUUUUGCGAGCUACCUCCUCCGAGGUGAAGCAGCCGCAUGGUGGGAGAAUUUCCAAGCCUCCAAGCACCCUGAUGAAGUCAUCACUUGGUUUGACUUCCAGGACGCUUUCCUAAAGCACCACAUCCCAGCUGGUCUGAUGGACAGAAAGCGUGAGGAAUUCUGCAGUCUGACUCAGGGCAAGAGUUCUGUUCUGGAAUACUGCAAGGAUUUCAACCGUCUUGCUCGCUAUGCUGGCGAUGAGAUCUCUACUGACUUGAAGAAACAAGAAAGGUUUCGUAAGGGUCUGAAUCCGUCGGUGAAGUAUGCUCUCAAUCUCAUUAGGUGCAAUUCUUUUGAAGACUUGGUCAAUACUGCUCUGCAAGCUAAACAUGGCCGUGCACAGUUUGAGGAUUCUCGCAAAUACUCUCGUGAUACUGGGUCUUCUUCCUCAGGCAAUAACAAUGCUGGUUCUCAAAAACGGAGGUUGUGGGUUCCCAACAACGCAACUGUCCGUCCAGCAUAUGGUCAGAGGAAUGGUGGUCAAGGUUCCCGCCCACCCUCCCAGGCUGUCUCUCUCAAGAGCUACAAUGGGCAGCAAAGACCUCAAAUCAGAACAGUGACACCAGAGUCUGUUACAAGUGCAAACAGCCAGGCCACAUUGCUACACACUGCCCUAUGAAUCAGAUUCAGGCAGCACCUCGCCCUCCUCCAAGCCAGGCGAUGGUUCCAGCUCAGGGUAAUCAGCAAAGGCCUUAUGACAACAACAAGUCCAAUGCCAACCGUGCCCGUGUCAAUCAUGUCAAUGCUGAGCAAGCAGAGGAAGCUACCGACGUUGUCAUCGGUAAUUUGCAUGUUAAUUCUGUUCUUGCUAAAGUAUUAUUUGACACUGGAGAGUCGCAUUCUUUCGUUUCGCACUCCUUUGCACAAGCAAUUGACUUGCAACAUGACACUUUGCUUACCCCUGUUCUAAUCCAAACCCCUGGGUCCCGGUCUAGGACAACUAGGAUAAGUUGUGGCACACGAAUCCAAAUCGGCAGUCUUGUCUUCUUCCCGACCUCCUAGCCCUCGGUCCCUCUGACAUUGAUGUCAUUCUAGGGAUGGAUUGGCUCAAACCUCAUCAAGCUUUGAUAGACUGUGCUGCUAAGUCUGUCAUUCUAACACAUCCCACUGGCCAGAUAGUCACUUUCCACUCUUCUAAGGCCACAAACACCUAGCUCUACUCUCUAGACGCAAAGCCACUUCCCACUUUGGAAUCGGUUAAGGUGGUUUGCGAAUUCCCGGAUGUUUUUCCUGAAGACUUACCAGGCAUGCCUCCUGACAGAGCGGUUGAGUUUGUGAUCGAACUCGAACCAGGAAUUGCUCCUGUUCAUAGGCGUCCAUACAAGAUGUCUCCACCCAAGUUGGCAGAACUCAAAAGACAACUUGAAGACUUGGAGAAGAAAGGAUACAUCCGUCCAAGCUCCUCUCCUUGGGGUUGUCUGAUGCGGGUGCGGGUGGCCCGAUCUUUCGAUGAGAUUGGUAACUCUCGAUUUGGGUAGGAGGUGACGUUGACGAUCCGACUACGGCCUAGGAGGCAGCGCCUUAGCAAUCGAUACACCAACUCCAAAGGGUUAUUGAUCACGCGGGGGCACGAUCAACCUGACCACGAAGGUCUUUGUUCCUGCAAGCAAUCGAAGAACAAGCAAGAACAAGAUAAAUAGAGGAUGCAAUCUAAAAUUGCGAAUAUACUAUAUCAAACCAAUGUCUCAACGAGACGAUAAGUUGGGGUUCCGAAAGCGGUAAAACAGGUGGUCUAACCGACACACGCGAUUACACGAAGUAGUAGCGAUGGCUAACUUUUAACUAAACAAAACCCAAGGCUCCUUAGGGGGGCUCAUGGGGUAUAUAAAGGAGGAGGGAGAGAUAUUUUCGUCCACCUUGAAUAAGGAGUCCGAAAUCCAACUCUAUCUCUAACUUUCCUAACAAACUACAACUCUUUAGGAAACAGAAAAACAGAUCCGUCAGCUUGUUUUGUCCGUCACGGUCAGCACGAGUCCAAUCUCUUGAUGGGGCCAGAUCCGUUGGAAAGGUCUUGUAAUUACCUUUCCAACAAGUACUUGUUUGCUUGAUUUGGACUCAGGAUGCGGCCUGGGUGAUUAAAACAAAUUCAGGUCUCCUGGCAGCUCGAACCCGAAUCGGAUUCAACUUUAAUUCGUGAUAUCUUUCUCUACCAAGCUCCGAAUCAUGUGCCGUUUGAUUUGUUGGAAAGUACACUUGAAAUCCUUCCCUCUCAGCUGUAUGAAUGCUUGAUUCUUGUUGGCCCUCCCGUUCGCCUCCACCGUAUCUCAUCUUGACCUUGGAUUUGAAAAGCUCGACAAGAUGCCUAUGUAAUAAAACGAGACAAGAUAGUAGUAGCUCCGCCUCUUCAUAAGUAUGACAAUGAAAGCAAUUACUACUUGAAUUCACCUGAUUAUAAAUCUUGUCAAAUAUUAUAGAAUUGAGGGUACCAAAGGUCGUAUCCAUGGUUAGCAUGUCCAUAUCAUCCUCCCUUUCUUGAAAGGAAAGCCGUCCUCAGCGUCGUUUAUGCUGAAAAUAUGCUAACAAAAAAGACAAGGUAUGCGCAUGGUAUAUGUAUAUAUCGUUAUUUUCAACUCCACUCCCAUGUUGCACAAUUAAUGUUUUAUAACACAAUCUCAUGAGAUAAUUAGUCACACAAUCAUCAUGAAUAUCAUUCCAGCAAGAAGAUUGACAAUAUGUUUUGCAUAUAUAAGUGAAACAAUAUCUUGUAUUUGGUUUGCACCGCUCACCAUUAUACCAUCCCAACACUGGAGAAUAAUAAUUAAUAAUGUUACCCAAAUUAGUUACUACAAGAUGCUGAAAUUUAGAGCAUGUCAAAGCACUAAUAUUCGAACAAUCGUGUAAAGAACUAAUUGGCAAAUAAUCAACACCAAUAUUGGAGGUCAUAUCAAAAUGGUUAAGCAUAUGCAACAUAUUAUUUUCUCUCAAAUCAAGAAAGUUAUCACAAGCAAUGCAAAUCUGAUGCACCCAAAAUUUAUUGUUCACGUCAUGUUCUCCAAUUAAUUGAAUAGUGUAUCCAUGGGCAUUAGCAAAAGAUUUUGAAAUUGUUAACUCAGAACCUUUAUCCCUUGCAUGUGACAAAUAUAUAGGUGCAUCAAGUGUAAUAGAACACAAAGAAUUAUUAGGCGGAACCAUAGGAAACACUUCUUCAUGUUUAAUUAAUUCAAUGCAACAUAAAUCAAAUUUAAUCAUCGCGUCACAAGUCUGUUCCAAAACAGCAGGUAACUCAUCACAUAAAUCAUUAUCAUUUGAAUCAAUGGGUGCGCUCAAAUCGGCAAGUAAAUCAACAGUUUUACAAGGGGCAGCAUGGUCAUCACAUAUCUCAUUUAUUUCAACACACGUCAUAUUUAGUUCAGCAACACAAACCUCUGUAACAUUACCUUGUGGGCUCAACACGUUUCUUGUACACCUUCUCUCCAAUUUCCUCUCCGCUUCACGAGCAAGAUUAAGCAAACACAAUAGAGAGUCGUAUUUUCCGUAUUCAAUUAUGUAAGAAAUAUCAAAGUUAAGCCCACAAUAAAACCUAUCCAUUUUUCUUUGUUCGGUUUCAUCUAAACCAGAUCGCAAGGUUAAAAUUUGGAACUCAUGGUAGUAAUCAUCAACAGUUUUAUCAUCUUGUGUCAAACGUCGUAAUUUGGAACGCAACUCAUAAGCAUAACUUGGAGGAACAUAUUUUUCUCUCAUGAUUUUCUUCAUAUCAAUCCAAGUGUGAGGUAUUUUGUUUUCUCUAACUAUCUCACACCACCAUGAUAAUGCAUCAAAACGAAAUUUACUACUAGAAAUUUGGACCUUACGACUAUCUAGUACAUGGAAGCAUGUGAAUUGUUCAAUUAAAGCUAGCUCCCAAUCUAUAUACGUUUCAGCAUCAUUUCCCCCCUCAAAGAAAGGUAAUUUAAUUGUAUUAGAAGGAUUGUUUUGUACCGUUGCCAUGGCAUUAUCAACAAGAGGCGUCGAGGAUGACCGUUGUGAAAAGCACUCAUCGCGGUCACGGGAUAGCAUCGGUCUAGUUGCCAUGCUUCGUGUAAGUCCUGUCAUGGUUAGUAGAAAACAAGAAACAAAUCACAGUAAUAUGUUCCUAUCAACUACUAGGAUGUGGCUACAAGUCGCUCAACUCUCAAGCUAAAAAUCAAGUUCUUACAAGUUCUUACAAGUUCUUACCAUGCAAAACAGGAAGGUGAUGGCCAGCGGCGUAACCAACACCUCCGGAGAUUAAAUGUAUCGAUGCCUCAGUAACAAACCAACCUAGGUGUAGAAUCUGUGGAGCUUGGAGGCUUUUGUGAGUAGCAAGGAAUAGCAAAUAAUCAAAUCAGCAAUGCAAAGUUGAAAAUAUGCUCAAUAAUGCUAGUCCUAGCUGCUGGAGUCGACAAGAACGAAUUACAGAAAUUAACUAAGCCUAGAUACUGAAAAAAGUAGAAAGGAAAGAUCAAAUGAAAGGUAAAACAAGUAAAUCUCUAGGGAAUAUUUUUUUUCUCUUUUUUUUUCUUUUUUUUUUGGCCUUCUGUUUGGCUUCUUAUUCUUUUCUAUUUUUUUUUCUUUUUUUUUAUCCCCAGAAACUCACGCAAAAGAAGUUAAGACCGGAAAGCUGCACGUCGGUCUGUAGGAGAAUAGCAAAGACUGUAGUAAGGAAAACUCAGAAAAAUAUGAGAAAAUAUGGGUUAGAAGCGUAUCAAAAAAAGCUUUCCAACAAGUGCAAGAUCACUCGAAACGGAGGUCGGACGGUGGAGAAAACUGAGAUAUACUGCGCUGCCCCGGUGCCGUAAAACGGGUGCAGAAAUUUGGAGCUCGAAAAGUCCACCUUAGAGGCCGAAUUUUAGGGUCAAAGUGCAGGGCUGUGCCCUGGAUAUUUCCUGAUGCGCUUCGUCGUGAGCUUUCCAAAAAGUCCAAGAACGUCCAAAUCCGAGUUGGUAUGCAAAAGAUACGUCCGUUUUACUGAACACGGGUCAAACCCACCCGAAACUAAAAUUCUACUCGGACUCGGGUCCGAAACUGACUCGAACUCUUUCUCUUUCUUUUUUUCGUUUUUUUUUCUUUCUUUCUUCCUUUUUUUUUUCUUUCCCUUUUUUUUGCACAACUUUCCAAACAACUUGAUCUCUAAACAAAAUUCGAUCUAUUAUGAAACACUUUCCAAAAGCACUCUUGAUUGGACUCGGACUCGAACUCGCGGCUAAAAACUAUAACUUUCCGACUCGAUGUAGGACUCGAAGAGGGACUUGGUGUAGGACUGGAAGAAGGACUCGGUGUAGGACUUGAAGAGGGACUGGGUGUAGGACUCGAAGAGGGACUCGGUGGAAGAUAUGGUGGAGGCGGGAGAUUAUGGUAGUGGUGUGGCUCUGAUACCACGUGAUGCGGGUGCGGGUGGCCCGAUCUUUCGAUGAGAUUGGUAACUCUCGAUUUGGGUAGGAGGUGACGUUGACGAUCCGACUACGGCCUAGGAGGCAGCGCCUUACCAAUCGAUACACCAACUCCAAAGGGUUAUUGAUCACGCGGGGACACGAUCAACCUGACCACGAAGGUCUUUGUUCCUGCAAGCAAUCGAAGAACAAGCAAGAACAAGAUAAAUAGAGGAUGCAAUCUAAAAUUGCGAAUAUACUAUAUCAAACCAAUGUCUCAACGAGACGAUAAGUUGGGGUUCCGAAAGCGGUAAAACAGGUGGUCUAACCGACACACGCGAUUACACGAAGUAGUAGCGAUGGCUAACUUUUAACUAAACAAAACCCAAGGCUCUUUAGGGGGGCUCAUGGGGUAUAUAAAGGAGGAGGGAGAGAUAUUUUCGUCCACCUUGAAUAAGGAGUCCGAAAUCCAACUCUAUCUCUAACUUUCCUAACAAACUACAACUCUUUAGGAAACAGAAAAACAGAUCCGUCAGCUUGUUUUGUCUGUCACGGUCAGCACGAGUCCAAUCUCUUGAUGGGGCCAGAUCCGUUGGAAAGGUCUUGUAAUUACCUUUCCAACAAGUACUUGUUUGCUUGAUUUGGACUCAGGAUGCGGCCUGGGUGAUUAAAACAAAUUCAGGUCUCCUGGCAGCUCGGAUCCGAAUCGGAUUCAACUUUAAUUCGUGAUAUCUUUCUCUAGCAAGCUCCGAAUCAUGUGCCGUUUGAUUUGUUGGAAAGUACACUUGAAAUCCUUCCCUCUCAGCUGUAUGAAUGCUUGAUUCUUGUUGGCCCUCCCGUUCGCCUCCACCGUAUCUCAUCUUGACCUUGGAUUUGAAAAGCUCGACAAGAUGCCUAUGUAAUAAAACGAGACAAGAUCGUAGUAGCUCCGCCUCUUCAUAAGUAUGACAAUGAAAGCAAUUACUACUUGAAUUCACCUGAUUAUAAAUCUUGUCAAAUAUUAUAGAAUUGAGGGUACCAAAGGUCGUAUCCAUGGUUAGCAUGUCCAUAUCAUUGUCCCACUCUGUUUGUGCAGAAGAAGGACAAAACCGAACGUCUGUGUGUUGAUUACCGUCCUCUUAAUCAACAUACAAUCAAGAACAAAUACCCACUUCCUAGGAUCAACGAUCUGUUUGACCAACUUGCCGGAGCCGCAGUUUUCUCAAAACUUGAUCUACGUUUAGGGUAUCAUCAAAUCAAAAUCCGGAAGGAGGACAUUCCAAAGACCGCUUUCACAACUCGUUAUGGUCUUUACGAGUACACUGUCAUGUCUUUUGGCCUCACCAAUGCUCCAGCUACCUUCUCUCGUCUGAUGAAUUCUAUUUUCAUGGAAUAUCUGGACAAGUUCGUUAUGGUCUACUUGGAUGACAUUCUUGUCUAUUCUAAAUCCGAGGAAGAACAUGAAGGACAUCUUUGUCUCAUCCUUUCCAAACUUCGUGAAAAUCGACUCAAUGCUAAGUUCUCCAAGUGCGAGUUCUGGCUUCCACAAGUCAAUUAUCUUGGUCACGUCAUCUCAGCAAAGGGAAUUGCUGUCAAUCCGGAGCGAAUUCAGGACAUUGUCGGGUGGUCUCAACCCAAAAGUGCAAAGUAAAUCCAGAGUUUCCUUGGUUUGGCAAGUUAUUGCCGACGUUUCGUCCCCAAUUUCUCCAAAAUUGCCAAGCCUUUGACCGACCUUCUCAAGAACGACAAUAAGUUUGUUUGGACCUCUCAGUGCGAAGAGGGCUUUAAACUUUUGAAGGAAAACUCGCUACACCUCCUAUUUUGGCUCCUCCAGAUACUACACAACCUUUCCAAAUCUAUGGCGAUGCAUCUCGGCAAGGUUUAGGCGCUAUCCUUUUCCAAGAUGGGAAAGUUGUGGCAUAUGCGUCUCGCCAACUUCGUCCAAAUGAACUCAACUAUCCCACGCAUGAUCUUGAACUCGCUGCAGUUGUUUUUGCAAUCAAACAAUGGCGGCAUUAUCUUGCGGGUGUACCUUGUGAGAUCUUUACAGAUCAUAAGAGCCUCAAGUACAUCUUCACCCAGCUUGAUCUCAAUCUUAGACAGCGACGAUGGAUGGAGUUGAUCUCAGAAUACAAUCUGUCGAUUAAUUACACACCAGGCAAAGCUAAUGUUAUGGCUGAUGCCCUUAGUCGCAAAUCUGAUUGCAACUCUCUCACAGUCUCGGAAUUAUCUCCUGAUCUUUGAGAGGACUUCAAGAAUCUUAACCUUGAGCUUGUUCCAAAAGGUUAUCUUGCAAAUCUGGUCGUUACUUCUGUUUCAUCUUUGGAAGACAGAAUUCGAAAAGCUCAGCUGCUUGAUGAUUUGGUCAAAAAGGUUUCUGAUCAGAUAAAAGCUAAAGAUCCCAAAGCUAAGAGAUUCUCACUUGAUGACAAAGGAACUGCGUUCUUUGAUGAUCGCAUGGUUGUUCCUAAUAAUCAAGACAUAAGAGAGUCUAUUCUCCAAGAAGCCCAUGACACACCUCUUGCUAUCCAUCCCGGUUCUACCAAGAUGUAUCAAGACAUCAGAAAGAGCUAUUGGUGGACUGGAAUGAAAGAGCACAUUGCUAGAUAUGUGUCUGAAUGUGAUGUAUGUCGCCAUGUUAAGGCAGAGCACCAGAAGCCUGCUGGUCUUCUUCAACCUCUGAGUGUUCCAACAUGGAAAUGGGAGAAGAUAGAAAUGGACUUCAUCACUGGGUUUCCAAAAUCUCGCAAGGGUAAUGAUGCAAUCUUUGUGGUGAUUGAUCGACUGUCUAAGGUCGCUCACUUCUUGCCUGUCAAAGAAACAAUCUCAGCUAGUCAAUUGGCCGAAUUGUACACUUCCAGAAUUGUCUCUCUCCAUGGUGUCCCAGUUGAAAUAAGCUCCGAUCAUGGAAGUAUCUUUACAUCCAGAUUUUGUGAAAGCUUUCAGAAGGCAAUGGGCACUAAUCUCCUUUUCAACACCGCUUAUCAUCCUCAGACUAGCGGUCAAGUUGAAAGGGUAAAUCAGGUCCUUGAAGACAUGCUUCGAGCUUGUGUCAUAUCUUUUGGUAUGAAAUGGGAGGAAUCUCUGCCGUUUGCGGAGUUCUCUUACAACAACAGCUAUCAAGCAAGUCUGGGCAUGGCGCCAUUCACUUUCCUCUAUGGUCGCAAAUGUCGCACUCCCUUGAACUGGACCGAGGCAGGUGAACGUCAACUCUUCGGGCCAGAUUUGAUUCAAGAAGCUGAGGAUCAAUGCCGUAUCAUUCGGGAAAAUUUAUUAGCGGCUCAAUCCCAUCAGAAGAGCUACUAUGAUAACAAACACCAAGAGGUGGUGUAUGCUCCCGGUGAUCAGGCGUAUCUUCGUGUCACUCCGAUGCGAGGUACACAUCGUUUCAAUGUGAAAGGCAAGCUUGCGCCUCGUUACAUUGGCCCCUUCAAGGUGAUCGCAAAGCAAGGCGAGGUAGUUUAUCGCCUCCAGCUUCCUCCAAAUCUCACCAAGGUCCAUCCUGUGUUCCAUGUUUCCCAACUCAAACGUUGUUUUCAAGGAUCCUGGUUGUGCGGUCGACCAUGAGACCAUCGAGAUACGCGAAGAUCUCACUUACAACGAGUGUCCAGUUCGCGUUCUCGAUGUGAAGGAACGUCGCACUCGCAACAAAACUCACAAAUUCUACAAGAUCCUUUGGUCUCAUCACUUUGACAAAGAAGCAACGUGGGAACGUGAAGAUCAGUUGCGCAAGGACUAUCCUACCUUUCUUGCGGAUCCCUGAGAAUCUUGGGACAUGAUUCCUUUUAGUGGGGGAGAAUUGUCACAGCCCGAGAGCAACUUUUACAUUUAAGCCCUUGUUUGGACCUGUUUGUAAUUUAUUCAAAUGCUGCAUGACAAUUACAUUUGCAUCCAUGCCAUGCCAUGUCUGUUGUUUGUGUCACAUGAGUUUUAAAUUUGCAUCUCAAAUUGUGGUUUGAAUUCUUGUUGUGUAUUUUUGUUAGAAGAUUCAAAUAUGAAUCACCCUCCUUUGAGUUUGAAUUCUUUUCCCUCUAUUUUUUCAAAUGAGAUUCAAAUGGGUUUUGCUUUAAACCUUAAACCCCAUUUGAAUAUUUCCAAAUACUAGUACCAUAUUUGAAUUCUACUACUUCUCAGCUUUUCAAUAUGGUAUUUGAAAUUUGAGUCCAAAAGCAUUUGCAAAAGCAGAAAAUAGAAAAGGGAAAAAGAAAAAAUCCAAACCUUACCUGCUCACUUGGCCCGAGCCGGCCCAGCCGCCUCGGCCCGCCGUCCUCCCGCGUGCGCGAGCAAGCCGCCUGGUGACACAGGUCUCGCGGCCCGCUUCCCCACGCCGCCCCGCAGCCCAGAUCGGCCCAGCCGCCCAGCAUUCUUCUGUGCGCGCCCGCUUCCCGUCCCCCCGCAGCGAAAGCGUAAAAUCCCGGAAUGCGCUUUGUCUCACAGCUCUCUCUUCUACCUCUGCUUUUCUUCCUUCCGACCAGUGAGCCCCCCCGGCCACGUCCUCUUCGACAGCGACAGCCACGCCUCCCCCUCGCCUACUUAAGCCACGCCGCACCUCCUCCUACCCGCGCCGCCUCUAGGAAACCCUAGUUAGGGUUUUCUCCUUCCCCUUCUGCGCAGCGCCGUCGCCCCGCUCCUUCGGUCGUGGACGCCACCGCGUCGCGCCACCGUCUCCGGCUGAACAGCGGCAAGCCGACCGCGUCACCCGAACCGCGUCAAGUCGCCUGCUUCGUCUACAUGCGAGGAAUUGGACGGAGGGCACCUACAUCAACGCCUAGGUCAUCUUCCCCAUCUUCGGCUGUCGCCUCUUCUCCGACAAAUUCCGGCGAGGUCGUCGACUCUUUCCUCGUCCACUUCCUCUUGAAGAUCGGGGGUGAGAUGUUCUUCCUCCUGCCUCUUUCCACACCGCUUUUGAUGCACCGUAGCGCCGUAGCCGCAAGCGCGCGCCGGCGAGCUUCGGCUCGUCGCCGCGCCGUCGUCUCCUUAAGGAUGCUGUGAUGGCCUUCGUGCCAUCUGGACUCUCUCCGGGUGCCGCUUCCGUUUUCCUUGUUAGGGAGCCCCUACGCCGCUAGCUUGGUCACCGCAUCCAUGCUCGUCGUGGGCGCCGCCCGUGCUCCCAAGCCGCUCUUUUGGGCUGAGUUAACAUGGCUUGCGCCCUGGAUCUUGUAAGAUCCGAACCGCAACUGUCAUCGCACGAUGCUCCGACACCGGGGGUGUGCGGUCACGGCCCCCUUUUAGGUUCGGCAGGGGCGUCGGGGUUCGCCCCGGCGAUAGACGGCUCGGCCGAUGGGCCCUACGAAGCCGGCGGAAUGACGUACUAGAACUGCGUGCUAAUCAAAGAACACAUGCACACACUUUUUUACCCAGGUUCGGACCAUCCGGAGAUGUAAACCCUACGUCCUGCUUGUCUGAGCUGGUAUUGAUUGCAGAUCAAGUGUUUAGACCUUACUGGGGGAAGGUCCUCGGGCUCUCUCUCUCUCUUCCCUUGCGUACGCUACCUGCUACUCAGAGCUAAACAAACUUGCGAACGUGGAGCCUCUGAUCGGAACUGGAACCCACCGGAACCCCAACCCAGCAGAACUUGAACCCUUCUACCGCUGGCGAGGGUCCCCCUUUUAUACUCAAGAGGAUGGCACAGGUGCCACGGUGCAUGGGCUACAAAUGUCGAGCGGGGAGGCACACAACUCCCCCUCGGUGAGCUGGUGGCAUGCAUGGACGCCACCUCCGCCGCUAGGGGUCUAAAACCCUAGAGUAGGAUUGGACAGCCACUGUGCACUUGACUUGGAUGGGUAACGCCCCUCCUGUCGGCUCAUUUAAUAAGCCGCACGCCUUACUCCUUGCUCCGGUGGGGCCACGCACCCCACGCCCGCCACGCGCCCGCGUGGCGCUGUUGAUCUGCUCACUGGGCCCCACCCUUGAAGCGGGGGCAUGCGCCCAGGAACCCCCUGUCCCGGCAAGUCGCUCCCCGGGAAGCGCCCGGGCCCAACGCACCCGGGACCUCCCCCAGGGAAGCGGCUUCCCGGGAGGUGCCCAAGCGGGAAUAUUCCCUGAAGCCCCGCUAGGCCCUUCUGGGCUGGUAGCUUACCGGGCUGCUCGUAGCCGCUGCCUGGGAUGGAACCUUCCCAGGAACUCGGGGACAGGGCCCACGCGUCGCGCAGCGGUGGUACCCCGAGUGCCACGGGUGCGACAGUAGCCCCCGGGCGUGGGCCGGCAUCAACUGUUCCCGGAUGAGUCUUCCCCAGGUCGGUUGCCGGGCUACGCCCUCAACCGACGUGUGGGCCCCGAUUUGCCGCGAGCCUGCGUCCCUUCGCUACCUCGUGUACAGCGCCGUUACAGACGGAGUAGUGGGUGUGCGAUUUCCGCCCUACCUCCCCCCCUAAAUAGGGAAGUUAAGGCCACUCCGUGCAUUACUCCUAAUGAUUAGGAGUUAUCCCCGCGCACCCGUAGGGUACGGAACCGGCCGUUACCAAAUGGCAGGUGUUAUAAGGCGCUUACUGUUGACAAAAGGGGAAAAACACUCUGUCCCCAUAGCCUUUGUCUUCAUCCCCUUCCGCAUCUCGCAUUCCAGCGCUCCUGCCCGCUUUCGCCCUCACUCCCCAUGGCGCCCCCCACCACCAGAAAGGGAAAAGAGGUCCAGGGCUCAAAGAAAGCCGCGGCCGGCAAGAGCGAGGCGGCAACCAAGGCAGCUGCCGCCAAGGACCAGAAGAAGCGGGAGAUGCGGGCUACGCUCGCCUUCUACCGCCCAAGGUACAACGGCGAGGCGCUGGAGAAGGUCCGGCAUGCCGUCGCCUCCAACUUCAAUGAGCACAGGGAGAUGCUGAUCUUCCCGGCGGGUGUCGAGCACUAGGAUAAGGACUUCUGGGUGUUCGCGCGCUUUCUCCUUACCGGCCUGGUGCCGCCCUUCUCGCUGUUCCUCCAUGCGCUGAUGGAGUCUUACCAGCUGUGGGUGGCGCAGCUCCACCCCACGUCGCUGUUCCUCCUCGCCACCUUCCAGUUCCUCUGCGAGGCGUUCGUGGGGGUGAUGCCGUCGGUGGGGCUCUUCCGCCACUACUUCUACCCCCGCAUUGACAACGCGAAGGCGAUGUCAUCGGGGGUGGUGUUCCGCGCCCGCGACCAGAUGAAGUCCGAGUUCAUCGUCCGGUCUGGGAAGAAGAUCGAAAAGGAGUGGCGGAGCGAUUGGUGUUGGGUCCGAGUGGAGGACCCCCAAGAGUUCAUCCAGUCGCCGACGGAGUUGCCGCAACCCCAAAAUGGCUGGCAGGACAGGUACCACCGCGACGCUGACGUCCUCCCCAUUGUGGAGAAGAUUAAGGCGCUGCGGCUGGCGGGGCUCACCGACGUGGACGUGGCGCGCACCUUCGUCCACCGGCGCAUAUCCCCGCUGUAGCUAAGCUCCUGGCCCGCGUGAAUGUACACAGGUCCCAGGGACAGGACACGCCUCCAACAGGACGGCGUGGACUUGGAGACCCUCAGCACGUGGGUGAGGGGGAUCUCCGGCGAGACCUUCCCAUCAACGGAGUUCCCGCCGGGGGUUUCCUCUCUUCAUGCCGGCGUUGCGGCGCCCAGCGACAUCGUUGGCGCCUUCCCGCCUUGCAACGAGUGGGGGUUGAUGGACGACACCCCCACCCGGGUCCCGCACGCUCCCCUGCAAGCACCCCACGAGAAGCACGUGCUCGAGGAGUGCGGGGGCGGAUCCGAGCCCAGCUGGCCCUCCCUCCAGUCGCUGGACGACGAGGCGGGCCAGGCAGUUGUGUUCCCGGAGGUCGUCCUCAUGGACGACGACGACGAAAGCAGCGACAGCGCGGCCCUGAUCGUGAGGAGAUCAAGGGCGUUUGCAGCAGCCGCCGCUAUCUCCUCAACAGCGCCUUCGCCCCGACAGCGACCACCAACCUUGCGGCGGCGGCCGCUUCAGGGGCGCCCGUCGGUACCUUGAUGGCAUCCGCGGCCACAGGGGUCGCCGGUGCCUCACCGGCAGCCGCCCGCACCAUGGCGGUAGCUGCUCUCGGGGCGCCCGCCGGCACCCCGGCAGCGCCCGCGUCCGCAGGGGUCGCCGGAGUCUCGGCAACGGUCUUCGCCCCAGUAGCGGGAGCCUCCCCAAGGUUGGUUCCCGGCACUGCGACGGGAUCACCGUCAACACCCGGGACACUCCGGGUCGCGACGACCUCGCGAAUAGGCGCCGCCUGCUCGGGGGGUAUUCCGGGGCUUUGCGCUCCGGCGUAACCCCCUGAAGUCCAACUCGCCGGCGAGUGCCGCCAAGAGGGCGAGGAGCGAUUCCCCACCCGACACGCCGAGCAAGAGGGCGCGCGCAGACGCCAGCGUCGCUGCCGAUCCCACCGCCGCAGGGGUCGGCUGCGACGCGAUCGCGCCCGAUGACGGCCCAGCCCCCACGGAGGCAGGGCCGGCAACCGGUAUGUCUUCUUCACUUCUCCGCAGCUGCAUUUUUUCAGUUGUUAGUCAAACUCAUGAAUGUACCUCUUUCUGCAGUGGGCGCCAACUCGCCCGCGGCAAGCCUCUUGGAGGCUCCCGCCGGCGCAGGUGAGGCAGGAGAGGCUCAACCCGCAAGCCCGACAGCCGCGCAAGGUAACCAUCCUGGUCACCCUUCAUCUUCACUUUGGACUUGUAAAGUUCAAUAAGAUGCCUACAUAAUAAGAUUACACAAGAUAGUAGCUCCGCCUCUUUGCAAGUAACAUAUUGAAAACAUUUUGUAAUUGAUUCGCCUGAUUAUAAUCAUUAGAGACACCAACAAUUAGUAGCUCCGCCUCUUUGCAAGUAACAUAUCCAUGGUUAGCAUGUCCAUAUCAGACUUGAAGCGGAUUCGCUUCUUCUCUGGAGUUGUGAGUGUAAUAGUCCUCUUGACACAAUCUAUAAGUCCUUCAUACUUGGCUAACCAAUCCAUUCCUACGAUCACAUCCAAGCUUUUUGAUCCUAACACUAUCAGGUCUGUGGGGAAAUUGUGUUUUCCAAUUUCUAGUGUCAGCAUUCGGCAUUCACAAGCUGUUAUCAUCUCUCCCCCAGGUGACUUCACCUUCAUAGGGUUCACUAAGGUACCAGUGGUUAAUCCAUUCUCAUGCAGAAAACUCCUUGAGAUAAACGAAUGCGAUGCACCGGUAUCAAAUAGUACGAGUGCUUCAAAAGAAUUUAGACGGAAGGUGCCGAUUACGAUACCUUACUCCUCCGUGAUUUCUUCCACACGCCCUUCUAAAAUGGGUUAGGCUUUGCUCCAGCCUCAUUGAACUUCUCCGGACAAUCAUUGGAGUAGUACCCCAUCUUGUGACACUUAAAGCAUUGCACUUGGCUCAUAACCAUGCCAGUGGUGCGGUUCUGUCCUGGGUUUCCUCCAUUGUUAUGGCCACUGCCCUUGUUGUUGUUGAUCCUUGGGUGCUGGUGCUGGUGUUGGUGGUUCCGGCUGCCAUUUCCUCCCUGGUGGUGGUGGUGUUCUUGAUUUCCAUGGCGGUGAUGGUGUCCACUCCCUCCAUGGUGACUCUGAUGAUUUCCACCAUGCUUAACCAUCGAAGAGUUGCCACUACCUUCGUACGAGGUGCGCGGCUUCUGAUGUGGACCAGAGUGGUUAUUGCCAUGGUGAGGCCUCUUCCUCCUGUUUUCCAUCUGAUUCUGCUUGUUCUCCAGAAUGAUGGCUUUGUCCAUGAGAGACUGGUAUGUAGGGAUGUAAACAAUUACCAGUUGAACGGCGAGUUCGUUGUUCAAACCAUCCAAAAACCUUUCCCGGCAUUUUGCAUCAGUGUUGACGUCGUCUGGGGCAUAGCGCGACAACUUGUUGAAAGCUUCGAUGUACUCUGACACGGUCUUGUUCUCUUGCCUUAGCUUGUGAAAUUUCCUCUUCUUUAACCUCAGCACGCCUUCAGAGAUGUGGGCGGUGCGGAAGGCAUCUUGGAACAUUUCCCAUGUUACCUCUUCCAUGGGUGUAGUAAUCUGAUAAGUCUCCCACCAAGCUGCGGCAGGUCCUUCAAGCAGGUGAGCGGCAAACCUCACCUUAUCAGCUUCAUUGCAGCCAACUGUCACUAGGCACUUGCUCACGGAACGGAGCCAAUCAUCAGCUACAAUCGGUUCUGGGGAGCUGGUGAAUGUCGGUGGACGCAGCCUCAGAAACCUGGUUAACAAGUCCACUUGAGGUGGUGGGUUGGGGUUCUGGUUGUUGUGGUUGUUGUUGUUGUUGUUGUUCAUCUGCUGGGUCAAAUCUUGCAAAAUCUGAGUCUGUGCAGCCAGUAGUUGCUGCAUAGUGGCGGCGUUGUUGUCCUGACCCUCCUCAUUGUUGUCAGCAUUCCGGCGAGUUUCACGUCUCGGCGGCAUCUGUUUUGGGACAGCAUAUAUGAGAAACAGAUAGACAGGGUCUAAGGGAAACUAAGCCCCACAAGACUGGCAAUACAACAGUUCAAACAACAAGCAUAACACAAGCAUGACAAUUCAAUCAUGAAACAAGUCAUCUAUAAAAUAGGCAAAAGCAUUCACUAGGAUUUUAACAUCCAAAACGAAUAGUUCACAAGGCGUACCAGCCCAAAACACAAGUGAAAAGCUACAAGUAAAAACACAAAUCUACAUUGCCAUACCACAACGACGGCAUGGUCAAUGACUAACACGAUAACGAAUAUAGUAUAAUAAAUAGUCCAGCGGCUCUAAGCUGAUACUAAGGAAGUGAAAGGAAGUUGGUGUUCCCAGAGUUCUUUGCCCUAGAACGGGUGCGGGUGGGAGGUGUGUCCAUCUCCUGCGCCUCCCGAGGUUCCUCCUCCUGUGGCUCCAUCUCCUCGUCCUGAGGGGGUGGUGGAGCUUGUGCUGGUGUAGGGUUGACGUUGUUGACCUGGGCUUGGAGUUGAUCAUACUGAAGUUGCAGGAGAUCCUUCUCGUACAUAAUCUGCUCCAUGAUCUCAUGCAUGUUCAGGAUAACAUCUCCCCUGCAGUUCACCUCGUUUGUCUUCAGCGCCAGUUGACCUUGGAGUAUCCCCACCUGGUCUUCAGCUAUGUCCGCUCGGGUCAUCUCGUUGUAGAGACUCUUCCCCAUGUCCACCAUGUUCUGCUCCAGAGCUUGAAACUGAACAUCCUCCGUGUGCGCAUCCUCGCCUAGGAUCUCCAGUCCCACGGCAUUCCCGCCAACAACUCGCCUUCCGAAGCUACGAAAGACAGAGUCCGGAGGCAGUUCAUCGUGGUACGCCUCGCACACACGAGCUAUCGCAUGUUGCAUGGCGAACUGGAGUCCCAGCAAGAAGUCGGGGUAGCGCACGGAGUAGGUGAUGUCGGGCGUCAAUGGAACAACAGUCCGUCCUUUGAUCUCCGUGUCGAUCUCCCAGCGGCGUGCACCUCCCUGGGAUCCCACCGGCUCAGCACGUCCUCGGAAAUAGGGUGCUGCCAGGUGCAGUGUCGUGCACAAAGUAGCAAGCUGCCUCCCAAACGGGAUGUCGUCGUCAACUGUCGGGUAAUGGACGUGUGUGAAAGGUGGCUCAUCUCCGAAAUUUGGUGGACCAUUCAUCUACAAGAUUUAUGGUGGAGGGAAGGAAUUAGUCAUAUGAUCAAGUAGGUGGAUGCAUAAAUGUAAUAAUGACAAUAUAAGGUGUAUGUUAUGCAAACAUGACGUAUGAUUGUAAUAGUGGAAAGCAUGACAUUGCAGUAUGAGGUGUAUACAAAUGCAUAUAAAAUCUGAAGAUGCAAGUAGGUGAAGUAAAACACAAGUAGUACAUAUGCAUUGGACAUUGGUAUGAUUGCAAGUGUAUAUGAAUAUGCAUGUAUCUCAAUAUGCAAAUUUAGAGUGGUAUGAAAUGCAUAGAACAAUCCUAUGGUCUCUUUUGGUCUAUUCCAUGCUAGCGUCACGUUCCUACAGGCAACACAAUGCUUUGAUACCAUCUGAAACGACCGCCCCCGUACAAGGGUUCGAUCUCUGUGCUUUAGUGCUAGUCCCUGGAUCGACUCACUAGCACACACAGUUUCAAGAUAUAAUAUCAUAGAACAAAGGUCUCCAUAUUACAACGUAUCAUCCAGAAUUUAAAAGGUACUUACAACUCGCAUAACCUCACGGGUUAGCUGGAAAUAAAACAACUGAUUAGCAGUGGAAAGCAAAAGAUACAAGGGCACAUCAACACCACGGUGAGAGCGUGUUGGAAUGUAAGCCCCUAACCCAAAAGCAGAACGUACAUCUUACUCGUCGUCGGAGCUUCCUGCAUCAUUAAACGAUGCAGCCACUAGGAUCAAUACAUUGAAUGUAUUGGCAAGAUUCACCAGGAGUUAUAACAGAACCUACCAAGUAUAUGCAUAAUGUGGCAAAGUGGGGUUCAGGCUGUUUGCGUGGAAGCAGAACAUAAAUUAUCCUACUACAAAGGAAUGUUAUAAUAAUGUUAACUAUUGGACACGGGGUAGACACACCCAUGCUCCUAUUAACCUAGAGCACACUGAAGUGGAUUCUUCAAGUGCUCCUACCCUGUUCAAACCAUUCAUUUUAUUUAAGAAAUUGGAAUGAGUGAGACUUUCCUGACAGCUCCACAUCUAGUCGCUCAAAUUGUCCGUUGCCAGGGACACGGCUAAGUACUUAGUUUUGACGCUCUCGAGAGUUUGUACACAUUCCCCACAAGAAACCGACGUGUUAAUCCCUUGCUGUCCUCAGGGUAGAGUAGCAACGGUAUCGAUUACGAGAUUUUCAGAGGUGAUUCCCUAAACCACGAGAGAAUCACGCUCCCCCUACACGGCUACCUCAGUACAAUUCCUCGGGUCUAGGUUCAUACAACUUACUCCACGGGAGAGACGUCCAUGGACGAUCCAUUCCUGAAUCCACAGGAACUCGACUCAGAGGGACCCAUAGAAAUGGACCUGACGCCGCUAAUCCUCAAAAUCUUCAAAGCAGCCCACCCAGGACGGUUCAUUGAAUUAAUUGUUUUGUCUUACAUCUAACAAAACAUUUCAAAUCGCCAAAGGCAUAACAAUAUCAUAAUGUAGUUAUUUCCCCCACGAUACUACCAUAGCCUAGCAUUCAACUACAAUCGAUGGCAAUUUUGGUAGCAAGGUAAUGGCGAGGGUAAACUAGACUACCUGGGAUUUAUAGCUAGCAUAGAAGUACGAGUAAUAUUCCUGAUGCAACUAAUAAAACAUCUAGUGCAUAGUAAAAAUAUUUAGGAGAAUGAUCAAAGUGAACUUGCCUUGUCCAAGGUUGUAGUAGUUCUCGCACUCUUCGCAACAACAAUGAUUAUACUCCACACAAUCUAAAAUAACAGAAACAUACACCCAAUAAACACAACAUUCAAUACAAAAGCCAUGCCAUGAUGCAUAUGCCAUGAUGAUGCACGCAAAGGUUACUUCUAACGUACAAAGUUUCGUUUCUGUUUUGAAAAGUUUUUCAAAAGUUUUGGACAGAUUAUACCACAUCAAGUGGUAAUUAAUAUGCAUGAUUCAUGAAUAAGGUUUGAAACAAACGAUUGUCCGGCUUAUGCAACAUAGAGCAAUAUUUAACUUGUAUGGCAUGAUUAUACACAAAUUAAUUUCUUUUCUGGUCCUAAUGGACAAAGAACAAGUUUAAAUAAUUUUACAGCAAGAUAACAUGCUCAAAACUAUUUUGAAACAAUUCAUUUGGAAUUUAAACCAUAUUCAACCAUUCUGUAAAUAGCCUCUGUCUAAGUUGUUCAAAACUGAAUUUAAACAGUGCCAAAAUAUUCUACAAGUUGUGACGAUUCCAGAAAGGUGCGGAACACAAAAAUUGGACAAACGGUUUGAAAGAUAUGAGGCUUUGAAGUUACAGGGGCCUUUUUGCAAAAGUGCAUUAUCUAAUUCAGCCGAAAAAGAAUAAAAUAAAAUAAAUAAAUAAAACUCUCGCCACGUGGCGGAAUUUGAUUGGCCCGGGGCUAGGGUUUUGGCCGGCAAGGCUCUCUCGCCGGAAGGCGGCGGCGCGGGGCGGGUCACGCGGGCGGCUAGUGGCCUGGGGCGGCUCGACGGCGCGGGGCGCGGAGCGCGCGGGCAGGCGGGCGGAGCGUGGCGGCAGGCGGUUCGGUGCGGCACAGGCGGCCGGAGGCGGGGAAGAAGACGGGCGGAGUGCGGGCGGCGCUCCAAAAGCAAAUCGGACCGUGUCACUACGUGCGCAACGAAGAGGGGAAGAGGCUUAGGGGGUCGGCGCGGGCGGAGACUCACCGGAACGGCAGCGAGACGCGGAAAACGGCGGCGGCAGAGAGUAACUCCGGUGAGAAAUUAAUCUCAAACCGAAGCGAAAUUGGGCGAGCGGUUUGGGGGAAGUGGAGGAGAAAAGCGAGGGCUUCGGGGUGACGCACAAGGAUUUGGAGGAAACGGCCCGUGCGCGGAGAAAUCGGAGGUGGAGUCGUGGGCAGUUCGCGGGGCGUGCGUGGCCCGAUUUCUCGGACGGAGGUUGAAGAAGACGCGGGGCCCACCGGUCAGUGAGAGGGACCAGGCGGUUCGGGCUGGGCCGGUCCGGUUCGAUCCGGUUCGGUCCGGUUUGACCGGUUUUCUUCGGUUUUUCCUUUUCCUUUAUUUAUUUUCUGUUUUUGAACCUCAAAAUUGACUCGAAACUCCAAAUCACUCCAAAUAAAAUGCAACAAAAUUUGUAAAAUCAUAUUUUCAUAUGAUCUAACUUUUGGAACAAGAAUUUCUUCAAAAUAAAAUAUUCAAAAAUACAUUUGCCAAUAAAAUGGCUUUUAGGGCCCUUAGGCUAUCAAAACAAAUUAUUUUUUCAAAAUUUCAAAAGCCAAAUUAUGGCAUAGCUCUAUAUAUGCAUUAAAUCCAUUUUUACCACAAUACCCUCAUGGGUUAAAAAUGCAAAUACUCAAGAGCAAGAUUAAAGCCCAAAAUCAAAUAAAGACAUCUUUGCAAAAGGGUUUUCUAGGCAAAUUUUAGGGUUUUGAAAGUGAUCAAAUGCAAGGAUGACAUGAUGCUUAUGAUAUGCAAUGCAUAUGAAGAGUUUUGAAAAUUGGGAUGUUACAGCUGGGGGCUGCGGCUACUAGUUGCCGCCGUCUUCGGCCGGGAGGUAGGUGGGGCGAUCGUGCUCCGGCUUCAUCUGCAUCCGCUCGACCACCUCGUCAACGAACGCGCGCACUACUUGGGUGUGCGUGGGCUCGUCCUCGUUGUCGGACCGAGCGUCCAGCAGGGACUCGAAGGGAAACUCCGGGUCCCGAAGAUGAAUCCGCGGGAGGAUUGUCCCGGCAACCUCCCGAGCGCAGUUGGUGACUUCGUUGGCGCCGUACCGGGCGCCCCAAGCUUUCCCACCAGAUCAGAGAAGAAGGGGAUCAGCGUCGUGACAUCUUUCCCGUCCACUACCGCUGCCUGAAGCUCGAACUUGGGCAGCAGGUCAGCGCUUGGGCGAUCUUCAGCAGCUUCUCCGUCUCGAUCUGCCGCUGCCUGAUCAGCGUGCCGUGAUGGAGUCGAGCGUCGUGCGCGGCCUUUUUAGCCUUGCGGACGUUGCCUUCCAUCGUCGCGAGCUCCGCGGUCUUCACCGCGAUCUCGUUGCCGGCCUUGGCAACCUCCUCCCGGACGGCGGCUAGCUCGGUCUAAAGCCUGGCCGCUCUGUCCUUGGCAGAGCCGAGCUCGGUCUCGUGCCGAGCCGCCGCUCCCACCACAUCUUCGGUGGCCUUGACUUGCACCUCCAGCAUGACGAGAAGGCCUUGGAUUUCGCCGCGAUAGUUGGCGAUCAGGACACUGUUCUCGUCCAGCCGGGUCUGGGCCGCCGCGACCACCUCGGCAUGUUCUUUCUUCGUCGCCUCGAGGGUGGCUGCCAUUGAGUCCAGCUUCCCUUGAAGCUCCGUGCGCUGGGCCUCCAGCUGCCGGUGGAGCUUGGCCUCCAGGACCGCCGGCUCCCAGGCGUCCUCCAGGGCUUGCUGGGCCAGCCGCGCCUCCUCCUCAGCGAGGCGCGUCUCCUCACGCAGCCGGGACAGUUCUCGCCGCUCUCUCUCCACGGCCUCCCGCACCUCGCCAAGUUGGUUCUUGGCGGCAGCGUGAUGCUCCCUCACCUCGUUGAAGGAGGUGACGAAGGCCUGUCGCUGGUCCCUAACGGCGUCCAAAACCGUCGCCCCCGCUCGAAGAUGCUCGGAUCCUAGGUGAGGGGGUUCCAAGCGACCCCGACGAGGGUGCCGAGGUCGGUAUCGGGGAGAGCAGCCGAGGACGAUGAAGCCCCGCUGCCGAUGUGGGGCUGUGCGCGGGGGUCUUGCUGUCCUUCCCCGGCAACCUCCCCUGCACCUGCGCCUAGGGACCCCGGGGUUGGGGAAGCCUCCUUGCUCCCGGCGGGGGCUGUCCCCUGUCGGGCGGCAGGUGAGCCCGCGCCAGUCGCGGCCGCAGCUGCGGGCCCGUCACUAGGCGCCGUCACAGCGGCGGCGGUGCCCACCGCUGCCCCUGUCUCUGUCGCGGAGGGGCUUGACGUGAGAGCCGGUUCUGGCUACACCUCCGCCCCCACGACCUCAACGACCGGGUGAAGAUCGACCACGGUCACGCCCGUUCCAGGUGUGGACACACUUGUGCCUGCGACGAUGAGAAGCAUGAGGAUUGGCGAGUAAUGGGGCUGUCAAAAACGGACAAAGGUGACCAGGAUGGUUACCUUGCGCGGCUGUCGGGCUUGCGGGGGGAGCCUCUCCGGCCUCGCCUGCGCCGGCGGGAGCGUCCAAGAGGAUUGCCGUGGGCGACCUGCCGCUCACUGCGAAAAGAGGUAAGUUCAUGAGUUUGGCUAACAAAAAUUGCAGCUGCGGAGAAGUAACGAAGACAUACCGGUUGCCGGCCCUGCCUCUGCGGCGGUGGGGUCCGCGGCGCCGCUAGCAUCGGCGCGCCCCUCUUGCUUGGCGUGCCGGGCGGGGAAUCGCUCCUCGCCCACUUGCUGGCACCCGCCGGCGAGUUGGACUUCGGGGGUUUACGCCGGAGCGCGAAGCCCCAGAAGACCCCCCGGGCAGGUGGCGCCGUAGGCGCCCGUGGGGUUGUCGUGGCCCGGAGAGCCCCGGGUGUCGACGGUGAUGCCGCCGCGGUGCCGGGAGCUGAACUUGCGGAGGCUCCCGCUGCCGGGGUGAAGGCCGUUGCCGAGACUCCGGCGACCCCUGCGGACGCGCGCGCGGCCGGAGUACUGGCGGGCGCCCCGGGACUGGCGGCCGCCACGGUGCUGGCGGCGGCCGCUGAGGCGGGGGCCGCCGCCGAGGCCCCCGCGGCCCCUGUGGCCGCGGAUGCCGCCAAGGUGCCGACGAGCGCCCCUGAAGCGGCCGCCCCCGCAAGGUUGGUGGCCGCUGCCAGGGCGGACGUCGCCGUCGAGGAGAGGGCUGUGGCCGCUGCAAACGCCCUCGAUCUCCUCACGAUCAGGGGCGUGCUGUCGCUGCUUUCAUCGUCGUCGUCCACGGCGACGACCUCCGGGAACGCAGCCGCCUGGCCCGCCUCGUCGUCCAGCGACUGGAGGGAGGGCCAAGUGGGCUCAGAUCCGCCCCCGCUCUCCUCGACACCUGCUUCUCGCAGGGUGCUUGCGGGGGAGCGUGCGGGACCCGGGUGGGGCUGUCGUCCAUCAACCCCCACUCGUUGCAGGGCGGGAAGGCGCCGACGAUGUCGCUGAGCGCCUUCACGCCAGCGUGAAGGGAGGAAACCCCCGGCGGGAACUCCGUUGAUUGGAAAGUCUCGCCGGAGAUCGCCCUCACCCACGUCCUGAGGGUCUCCCGGGACCCGUGUACAUCCACGCGGGCCGGGAGCGUAGCUGCAGCGGGGCUAUGCGUCGAUGGACGAAGGUGCGUGCCACGUCUACGUCGGUAAGCCCCGCUUGCCGCAGCGCCUUGAUCUUCUUCACGAUGGGGAGGAGGUCGGCGUCGUGGUAGUACCUGUCCUGCCAGCCGUUCUAGGGCUGCGGCAGCUCCGUCGGCGACUGGAUGAACUCCUGGGGGUCCUCCACUCGGACCCAACACCAAUCGCUCCGCCACUCCUUUUCGAUUUUCUUCCCCAACCGGACGAUGAAUUCGGACUUCAUCUGGUCGCGGGCGCGGAAUACCACCCCCAACGACAUUGCCUUCGCGUUGUCAAUGCGGGGGUAGAAGUAGUGGCGGAAGAGCCCCACCGACGGCAUCACCCCCACGAAUGCCUCGCAGAGGAACUGGAAGGUGGCGAGGAGGAACAGCGACGUGGGGUGGAGCUGCGCCACCCGCAGCUGGUAAGACUCCAUCAGUGCGUGGAGGAAUAGUGAGAAGGGUGGCACUAGGCCGCAGAGGAGGAAGCGCGCGAACACCCAGAAGUUGUUGUCCUGGUGCUCGACGCCCGCCGGGAAGAUCAGCGUCCCCCCGUGCUUGUUGAAGUUGGAGGCGACGGCGUGCCAGAGUUUCCCCAGCGCCUCGUCGUUGUAGCCGGGGCGGAAGAAGGCGACCGCGGCCCGCAUCUCCCGCCUCUUCUGGUCCUUUGCGGCAGCCGCCUUUGUUGCUACCUCGCUCUUGCUGGCCACGGCUUUCUUUGAGACCCGGACCUCCUUCCCCUUUCUGGUGGUGGGGGUGCCAUGGAAAGCGAGGGCGAAAGAUAGUAGGAGUGCAGGGAUGCGAGAUGCGGAAGGGGAUGAAGACGAAGGCUAUGGGGGCAGAGUGUUCUUCCCCUUUUGGCAACAGUAAUAGCUUUAUAACGCCCGGCCGUUUGAUAACGGCCGGUUCCGUACCCUACGGGUGCACGGGGAUAACUCCUAAUCAUUAGGACAAUGCACGGAGUGGUCUUAACUUCCCUAUUUAGGGGGGGAGUUAGAGCGGAAAUCACGCGCCCACUGCUCCGUUUGUAACGGCGCCGUACACGGGGCAGCGAAGGGACGCGGGCCCGUGUCGUCGCACGGUGCUCCGACACCGGGGGCGUGCGGUCACGGCCCCCUUUUAGGUUCGGUAGGGGCGUUGGGGUUUGCCCCGGCGAUCGCCAGCACGGCCGAUGAGGCCUUGCGGAGUCGGCGAAAUGAAGUACUAAAAGUGCGUGCUAAUCAAAGAAUACACGCACGUUUUUACCCAGGUUCUGAUAGCCUCGAGGGUGUCCCGAUCUUUCGAUGAGAUACCUAAUUAUCGAUUUGGUAGGAGGUGACGUUGACGAUCCGACUACAACCUAGGAGGCAGCGCCUUAGCGAUCGAUACACCAACUCCAGAAGGUUAUUGAUCCCACGGGGGCACGAUCAACCUGACCACGAAGGUCUUUGUUCCUGCAAGCAAUCGAAGAACAUGCAAGAACAAGAUGAAAAGCAAUCUGAAAUUGCGAAUAGGAGAUAUGAAGGUUCACGAAUCUGAAUACUCAAUAUAGUUGGAGUCUUGAUGACGGUAAAACAGGUGGUCUAACCGACACACGCGAUUACACGAAUGUAGCAAAGGCUAAACUUUAUCUAAUCAAACCCAAGGCUCCAUAGGGGGGCUCCUGGGGUAUAAAUAGGAGGGGAACUAGGGGGUUUUCGGCCAGGCCCUUGUGGGAGUCCGAAACGGCCUAGGAAUCCUCCUAAAACACAACGAAAACAUCUAAAAAUUGGCUGGACCCUAUUACAUGGCCUUAGGCCCAAUAAAACAAGGUUAUAACCCUCAUCUUUGGCCCAUAGAUACCCAUUGGACAGGGAAUCCUCCACUUGGCCGAAAUCCCAUUGAUGAAGAGGAUGCGGCCUUCUUCUCAUCUCUUUAUGGCGGUUUCAAUGUUCUGAAAUCAACACUUGAGCUACCUCCCGCCACCUUGCUGCCACCUCCAUGGUUUGCUGUCCAACGCUGAUCCUUGAGGUCCAAGCUAGGUCCUUCAUUCCUAAAACACAUAAAAGAACCCAUCUUAGGCGGCAGCAUAUUCUCAUUAAUAUUAAAUGAAGUACCGACGAACGAAAGUACCUGAUAAUUUAGUUGUCGUGCACGAGCUCUAGUAAUUGGUCCAUGUAUCUCCGGUACUUGAGGUGUAGGUGCGGUAGGGGCUGUGGUUGUAUCAUUACUUGGGAUGUCCUCAUCAGGUUCGGGCCACCUGGAGGUGUAAAACCCUACGUCCUGCUUGUCUGAGCUGGCAUUGGUUUAGAUCAAGUGUUUACAAGUUGCCGGGUAAGUUCCCGGGUACCCUCUUCCUUUGGCUAGAUACUACUUACUAUUCUUUGCUAGUGGUGGUGGCUAACGGUGAGCUGGUCGAACUCAGCCGAACCCUACUGUCUACUAGGAUCAAUGGCAAGUCCAACUGAGCCGAACGAACCUAAACCCAACUUACCUGAACCCCUUGACCGCUGGCGAGGGUCCUCCUUUUAUACUCAAGGGGAUGCCACAGGUGCCACGGUGCAUGGGCUACAAGUGUCGAGCGGGGAGGCAUACAACUCCCCCGGUGAGCUGGUGGCAUGCAUGGAUGCGACCUCCGCCGCUAGGGGUCUAAAGCCCUAGAGUAGGACUGGACAGCCACUGUUCCCUAUCGGACGGGUAACGCCCCGUCGGUCGGCUUAUUUAAUGAGCCGUGCGCCUCACUCCUUGCCUUGGUGGGGCCGCGCAUCCCACGCCCGCCACGCGCCCGCGUGGCGCUGUUGGUCUUGCUACUAGGCCCCACGCUUGAGGCGUGGCAUGCGCCCGGGAACCCCCUGUCCCGGCAAGUCGAUCCCCGGGAAGCGCCCGGGCCCAACGCACCCGGGAACCUCCCCCGGGAAGCAGCUUCCCGGGAGGUGCCCAGGCGGGAAUAUUCCCCGAAGCCCCACUAGCCCCUUCCGGGCUGGUAGCUUGCCAGGCUGCUCACAGACGCUGCCCGGGAUGAAACCUUCCCGGGAACUCGGGAACAGGGCCCACGCGUCGCGCAGCGGUGGUACCCUGGGUGCCCCUGGUGCGACAGCCCGCGGCAAAUCGGGGCCCACACGUCGGUUGAGGGCAUAGCCCGGCAACCAACCAGGGGGAAGACUCUUCCGGGAGUAGAUGAUGCCGGCCCACGCCCGGGGGCUACUGUCGCACCGGUGGCACCCGGGGUACCACCGCUGCGCGACGCGUGGGCCUCGUCCCUGAGUUCCCGGGGAUGUGUCCCAUCCCGGGCAGCGGCUACGAGCGGCCCGGCAAGCUACCCCCGCCAAUGGUCAAAGGGUUGGAAUCUCAGUUGGUUCCGGUAGACGGUUGAGUUCGAUCAGUCCACGGUUAGCCUCUAGCAUUAGCAGAGAAUAGUAAGGAGUACCUAGCUAAAGGGAGAGAGUGCCCGGGAACUUACCCGGCAACCUGUAAACGCUUGAUUCACAACCAAUAUCAGCUCAGACAAGCAGCACGUAGGGUCUUACACCUCCGGGUGGUCCGAACCUAGGUAAAAAACGUGCGUGUAUCUGUUCUUUGGUUAGCGCGCACUUUUAGUACAUCAUUUUGCCGGCCCCGCAGGGCCUCAUCGGCCGAGCCGGCGAUCACCGGGGCGAACCCCGACGCCCCUAUCGAACCUAAAAGGGGGCCGUGACCGCACGCCCCCGGUGUCGGAGCACCGUGCGACGACAAAAUGCCUUUAGGGCUAUAUAACUAUUUAAAUAAAAUAGUUUUUCAACUCCAAAUAAAUAUCCAAAAAUUAAAUGAUAGCUUAAUUAUGCAAUAAAACCCCAUUUAUAGAUAAACCCUAUUGGUUUUAAGAUCCAAAGCUCAAAUGGGUGAAACCCUAGGGUUUAAAAUGAAAUAAAAACCUUUUUAAAGCCUUUUGAGAUUCAAAUUUGAAUUCAAAUAUGCAAUUGUGGCAUGAUGCUCAUGGAUGCAAUGCAUAUGAAAGGUUUUAGAAUUUUGGGAUGUUACAACCAUAGUUCGGGCGUUCCAUUUGGCAUAUCGCAUACACACUGGUGUUGUGUUUGGAGAUUUGUUGGUACUUUGCAUACAUAUAGGAUUGCGGCACUAGUCUGGAGUGGUCAUUCUGUGGACACUGAACCACUACCAGCUGUGCUCGCAACUCUUGAGUCCGUACGACGCUUCGGUCGGGCUCUCGUUUCAGAUUAGACUCAGUUGGGUGGUCCCCUGGAUUAGUUGUGGGGCUUGGAAACAUCGUGUCGCCCAAUCCUGCCGACACACGUCUUUGUGUGUUCCUACUUGAGUGGCAAUAAGGGUUGGACGAACGUGUACGGGUAUAUUGGCACACCCUGCAGGGAUAAAUCUUUCUAAAAGCCGUGUCCGCGGUUAUGGACGACUUGGUUGGUCAUUACUUGAUCAUAGAGAACUUAACCAACUUAAUCUCAAAAACUUGAGUAGUAAUUAGCCUUAAUCAUGGAUAUGCUUAAACUGCUUAAAGUGUGAGUGUCCUUUGGAUUGCUUCCUCACAGGGUGUUGAGGGGUGAUAUGAGGAUUGUGUUGUUUGGUGUUUAGUAAAUAGGUUAAUCACCUCACACUUCUCAUCCUCUACUUAGACGUUGUUAUUAGAGUGUCUCUCUAGAUUUUGUUGCUGCUGCAUAAACCCCACCAUAUCCCUCCUUUGAGACUUGUUGCAUAUUUAGUUUAGUUCUCCCCGUAAGUCUUGCGAGUACUUUGUACUCAGUUGCUUUGCAACGUUGUUUUCUUCAGAGGUUCCAACAGAGCAGGUGAGCCGCUAGCUUCUUCGGGGAGCAUGACGUUAGAUUCGAUGUUUUGCCAGGAGAUCCAGAUCAGGGUUCUGAGACUCGUGGCGGGUUUCCUUCCAGCUUCCAGCCUCUUCAGGCCAUGUUGUAUUCUUGUCCGUACUCGAGCAUAAUUCGACUUCCGCUGAUGUAAUGAUGUAAUGUUGGGACAUGUGUCCUCUCUUUGUAAUAAUUGUUAUUCUGCUCCUUGUAUGAGCUUUGUAAUUACUCUCUUCUAUAGAGUUUUGGUAAUGAUAUUCAUGUUGCAAAAUCCUGCGAUGAGCACAUUAAUGCAUGUAUGUAUUGAGGUGUUUAUCGUAGGUUAAAAACCUGAGGCUUGAAUUAUGCAAAGGUUAGCAAUCUGGGGCUAAAUUGUAUAAUUCCGGUCCCGGGGUCUUACAGACGUGAACCUCACUGCAAUGCUGCCGACAACAAUGAGGGACAAGACAACAAUGCCGCCACUAUGCAACAACUGUUAGCAGCCCAGACUCAGAUCCAACAAGCACUCACCCAGAAGAUGAACAACAAUCAGAACAACAACAACAACAACAACAACCAGCACCACAACCCGUUUUCUGAGGUUGCGCUCACCUACCUUCACCAACUCUUCUGAACCAAUAGUGGCUGAUGAUUGGCUCCGCUCUGUGAGCAAGUGGCUAGUAACUGUGGGCUGCACUGAGACAGAAAAAGUGAGGUGUGCCGCGCACUUACUCGAAGGACCGCCGCAGCUUGGUGGGAGACUUAUGAAAUCACCACCCCCAUGGAAGAGGUCACAUGGGAGAUGUUUCAGGAUGCUUUCCGCACCGCCCACAUCUCUGCAGGCGCGCUGAGCCUGAAGAAGAGAGAAUUCCACAAGCUGAGGCAAGGGAACCGCAUGGUGUCUGAAUACAUUGAGACAUUCAACAAGCUGUCUCGCUACGCUCCUGAUGACGUCAACACUGACGCCAAGCGUCGUGAGAGGUUUUUGGAUUGAUUGAACGACGAGCUGGCCGUUCAGUUAUCUGUUGUCUACAUACCUACUUACCAGUCUCUGAUGGACAAGGCUAUCAUCCUAGAGAAUAAGCAGAAUCAGAUGGAGAACCGAGGAAGAGGCCUCACCAUGGAAGUAACCACACUGGUUCACACCAGAAGCCGCGCACCUCUUAUGAGGGUAGUGGCAACUCAUCAAUGGUAAAGCAUGGGAACCACAACCAGAAUCACCAGGGAGGAAGUAGACAUCACCAACGCCAUGGAGGACAAGGACACAACCACCAGGAAAACAAUGGCAACAGGCACCACCAGCAUCACCAGCACCAACACUCACGUCAGAGGAACAACAAUGGGAAUGGCAAUGGCCGAAGCAAUGGAGGCAACCCAGGACAGAACCGCAACGCCAACAAGGACCUGAGCCAGGUGGAAUGUUUCAAGUGUCACAAGAUGGGACACUACUCCAAUGAAUGCCCAGAAAGGUUCGAAGGGAGUGGUGUUAAACCCAACUCGUUCCAGAAGGGCAACGUGAACUACAUCGGCAUGGAGGAGAUCACUGAGGAGAAAGGUAUCGUAAUCGGCACCUUUCACGUUAAUUCAUUUAAAGCACUCGUACUGUUUGAUACUGGUGCAUCGCAUUCUUUCAUAUCAAAGAGAUUCAUGGAUAGGAAUGAAUUACCGACUAGUACACUAGCGAACCCCAUGAAGGUGAAGUCACCAGGGGGAGAAAUGUUGGUUCUUUAUGAAUGUUGACUACUGACACUAGGAAUUGGAAAACACGGGUUCCCCACAAACCUGAUAGUGUUAGGAUCGAAGGGCUUGGAUGUAAUCCUAGGAAUGGAUUGGUUAGCCAAGUAUGAAGAACUCAUAGAUUGUGUCAGGAGGACAAUUACAAUCACAACCCCAGAAAAGAAGCGAAUCCGCUUCAAGUCAACCUAUGAACUUAAGAAACCCAAGGUAAAUUCUCUUAAGGGGGUUAGUCUAGAGGAUGUGCUGAUAGUGAAAGAAUCUCCGGAUGUGUUUCCAGAGGAAUUACCAGGCAUGCCACCUGACCGUGAUGUGGAAUUCCUUAUCGAGUUACUGCCUGGAAGUGGACCUAUAGCCAAGAGACCGUAUAAGAUGGCUGUGGACGAGUUAAAAGAAUUGAAGAAGCAACUCACAGAAAAGUUGUGUAAAGGCUUUAUUCGCCCUAGUUCAUCACCCUAGGGAGCACCUGUUGAUAUGGACAUGCUAACCAUGGAUAUGACCACUAGAACCCUAAUUGUUGGUGUCUCUAAUAAUUAUAAUCAGGUGAAUUCAAUUACAAAAUGUUUUCAAUAUGUUACUUGCAAAGAGGCGGAGCUACUAUCUUGUGUAAUCUUAUUAUGUAGGCAUCUUAUUGAACUUUACAAGUCCAAAGUGAAGAUGAAGUGUUAUAGCCUGCAAAGGGAGAUUCAAAGUGAAGCCUAUCAAGUGUACUUUCCAACAAAUCAAACGGCACAUGGUUCGGAGCUUGCUAGAGAAAGAUAUCACGAAUUAAAGUUGAAUCCGAUUCGGGUCCGAGCUGUCAGGAGACCCGAAUUUGUUUUAAUCACCCAGGCCGCAUCCGGAGUCCAAAUCAAGCAAACAAGUACUUGUUGGAAAGGUAAUUACAAGACCUUUCCAACGGAUCUGGCCCCAUCAAGAGAUUCGACUCGUGCUGACCGUGGCGGACAAAACAAGCUGACGGAUCUGUUUUUCUGUUUCCUAAAGAGUUGUAGUUUGUUAGGAAAGUUAGAGAUAGAGUUGGAUUUCGGACUCCUUAUUCAAGGUGGACGAAAAUAUCUCUCCCUCCUCCUUUAUAUACCCCAUGAGCCCCCCUAAGGAGCCUUGGGUUUUGUUUAGUUAAAAGUUAGCCAUUGCUACUACUUCGUGUAAUCGCGUGUGUCGGUUAGACCACCUGUUUUACCGCUUUCGGAACCCCAACUUAUCGUCUCGUUGAGACAUUGGUUUGAUAUAGUAUAUUCGCAAUUUUAGAUUGCAUCCGCUAUUUAUCUUGUUCUUGCUUGUUCUUCGAUUGUUUGCAGGAACAAAGACCUUCGUGGUCAGGUUGAUCGUGCCCCCGCGUGAUCAAUAACCCUCUGGAGUUGGUGUAUCGAUCGCUAAGGCGCUGCCUCCUAGGCCGUAGUCGGAUCGUCAACGUCACCUCCUACCCAAAUCGAGAGUUACCAAUCUCAUCGAAAGAUCGGGCCACCCGCACCCGUAUCACGUGGUAUCAGAGCCAGGUUGCUCGGUGAGAUUUUUCCAGUUUAUCCCUAGUUUAGAUCUGUUUUACCUAUCGUCCAGAAAAAGCCAAACAAAAAUUAGAAUUAGUUACCUUGUCCUAGAACCAAUCUGAGCCUUGCAAUUUUCACUUUAGUAUUUGCAUUGUUGAAUCUUUGCUGCAUUAAUCGUGUCGAGUUGCUGGAUUUGAUUGGAUCGUUUUUCAGAUUUUUUCUACUAGAUCGAACUUGCUUUUGGUUUUCUUGUUCUUCGUGUGACGCAGGUUUCCUUCAUCAAUCUUCCGCCGCCAAACUUCCUGCCACACCACCCCCAUAAUCUCCCGCCGCCACCAUAUCUUACACCGAGUCUCUCAUCGAGUCCUACACCGAGUCCCUCUUGGAGUCCUACACCGAGUCCCUCAUCGAGUCCUACACCGAGUCCCUCUUGGAGUCCUACACCGAGUCCCUCAUCGAGUCCUACACCGAGUCCCUCAUCGAGUCCUACACCCAGUCCCUCUUCGAGUCCUACACCGAGUCCCUCGUCGAGUCCUACACCGUGUCCUACAUCGAGUUCUACAUUGAGUCGGCAAGUUAUAGUUUUCAGCCGCAAGUUCGAGUCCGAGUCUAAUCAAGAGUGCUUUUGGAAAGUUUUCAUAAUAGAUCGAAUUUUGUUUAGAGAUCAAGUUGUUCGGAAAGUUGUCAAAAAAAAAAGGAAAGAAAAAAAAAACGAAAAAAAAAAAGAGAAAGAGUUCGAGUCAGUUUCGGACCCGAGUCCGAGUAGAAUUUUAGUUUCGGGUGGGUUUGACCCGUGUUCAGUAAAACGGGCGUAUCUUUUGCGUAUCAACUCGGAUUUGGACGUUCUCAGACUUUUUGGAAAGCUCACGACGAGGCGCAUCAGGAAAUAUCCAUGGCUUUGCCCUGCACUUUGACCCUCAAAUUCGGUUUGUAAGGUGGACUUUCGGAGCUUCCAAGUUUCUGCAUCCGUUUUCCGGCGUCGCUGCAGCCCGGUGUUUCUCAGUUUCCUCCACCGUCCGACAUCCGUUUUCAGUGAUCUUGCCCUUGCUAGAAAUCUUGUGUCGAUACGCUUCUAACCCAUAUUUUUCCAUAUUUUUCUGAAAUUUUCUUACUACAGUCUUUGCUGUUCUUCGACAGACCGACGUACAUUUUUCCGGUCCUUCUUUUGCGUGAGUUUCUGGGGUUAAAAAAAAAAGAAAAAAAAAAGAAGAAGAAAAGAAUAAGAAGCCAAACAGAAGGCCACAAAAAGAAAAAAAAAGAAAAAAAAAUCCCAGGGAUUUACUUGUUGUGCCAUCUUUUGAUCUAUCUAUUCCUACCUUCUGCAGUAUCUAGGCUUAGAUUAUUUCUGUAAUUCGUUCUUAUCGACUCCAGCAGCUAGGACUAGCAUUAUUGAGCAUAUUUUCAACUUUGCAUUGCUGAUUUGAUUAUUUGCUAUUCCUUGCUACUCACAAAAGCCUCCAAGCUCCACAGAUUCUACACCUAGGUUGGUUUGUUACCGAGGCAUCGAUACAUUUAAUCUUCGGAGGGCUUGGUCACGCCGCUGGCCAUCACCUUCCUGUUUUGCAUGGUAAGAACUUGAUUUUUAGCUUGAGAGUUGUGCGACUUGUAGCCACAUCCUAGUAGUUGAUACGAACAUAUUACUGUGAUUUGUUUCUUGUUUUCUACUAACCAUGACAGGACUUACACGAAGCAUGGCAACUAGACCGAUGCUAUCCCGUGACCGUGAUGAGUGCUUUUCACCACGGCCAUCCUCCACGUCUCUUGUUGAUAAUGCCACGGCAACGGUACAAAACAAUCCUUCUAAUACAAUUAAAUUGUGUGUACCUUUCUUUGAGGGGGAAAAUGAUGCUGAAACGUAUAUAGAUUGGGAGCUAGCUUUAACUGCACAAUUCACAUGCUUCCAUGUACUUGAUAGUCGCAAGGUUCAAAUUGCUAGUAGUAAAUUUACAUUUGCUGCUUUAUCUUGGUGGAAUGAGAUAGUUAGAGAAAAGAAAAUUCCCCACACUUGGGUUGAUAUGAAGAAAAUCAUGAGAAUAAUAUGUCCCUUUUAGUUAUGCUUUUAACUUGCGUUCAAAAUUAUGACGUUUGGCACAAGAUGAUAAAACUGUUGAUGAUUACUACAAUGAGUUCCAAAUUAUAACCUUGCGAUCUGGUUUAGAUGAAACCGAACAAAGAAAAAUGGAUAGGUUUUAUUGUGGGCUUAACUUUGAUAUUUCUUACAUGAUUGAAUAUGGAAAAUACGACUCUCUUUUGUGUUUGCUUAAUCUUGCUCGUAAAGUUGAGAGGAAAUUACAGCGAGGGUCUACUACAAAUGAGUCGAGCCCACAAGGUAGUGAUACAGAGGAUUGUGUUGCUGAACUAAAAAGGGCAUGUGAUGAAAUAAAUGUGAUACCUGUUGAAUUUUCUGCACCAUGUGAAAUUAUUGUCGUACAUGGUGAUUCAAGUGCACCUACUGCUGAAAUUAAUUCUUCUAAUGAUUUGAGUGCACAAAUUAAUUUUGAUAUUGAUGAGAACGAAUCAUGUGAGGAAAUAACUAAUGUUUUGGGAGAAGCAAGUGAGAUAGAUAAAUUUGAUUUAGGUUGUGUCGAGUUGAUUAGACAUGGAGUGAUUGAUAAAGAUCCACCUAUUAAUUCUUUGUGUUAUAUUACACUUGAUACACCUAUAUAUUUGUCACAUGCAAUGGAUAAAGUUUCUGAGUUAACAAUUUCAAAAUCUUUUGCUAAUGCCCAUGCAUACACUAUUCAAUUAAUUGGAGAACAUGAUGUCAACAAUAAAGUUUUGGUGCAUCAGAUUUGCAUUGCUUGUGAUAACUUUCUUGAUUUGAGAGAAAAUAAUAUGUUGCAUAUGCUUAACCAUUUUGAUAUGACCUCCAAUAUUGGUGUUGAUUAUUUGCCAAUUAGUUCUUUACACGAUUGUUUGAAUAUUAGUGCUUUGACAUGCUCUAAAUUUCAGCAUCUUGUAAUAACUAAUUUGGGUAACAUUAUUAAUUAUUAUUCUCCAGUGUUGGGAUGGUAUAAUGGUGAGCGGUGCAAACCAAAUACAAGAUAUUGUUUCACUUAUAUAUGCAAAACAUAUUGUCAAUCUUCUUGCUGGAAUGAUAUUCAUGAUGAUUGUGUGACUAAUUAUCUCAUGAGAUUGUGUUAUAAAACAUUAAUUGUGCAACAUGGGAGUGGAGUUAAAAAUAACGAUAUAUACAUAUACCAUGUGCAUACCUUGUCUCUUUUGUUAGCAUAUUUUCAGCAUAAACGACGCCGAGGACGGCUUUCCUUUCAAGAAAGGGAGGAUGAUAUGGACAUGCUAACCAUGGAUACGACCAUUAGAACCCUAAUUGUUGGUGUCUCUAAAGUUAUAAUCAGGUGAAUUCAAUUACAAAAUGUUUUCAAUAUGUUACUUGCAAAGAGGCGGAGCUACUAUCUUGUGUAAUCUUAUUAUGUAGGCAUCUUAUUGAACUUUACAAGUCCAAAGUGAAGAUGAAGUGUUAUAGCCUGCAAAGGGAGAUUCAAAGUGAAGCCUAUCAAGUGUACUUUCCAACAAAUCAAACGGCACAUGAUUCGGAGCUUGCUAGAGAAAGAUAUCACGAAUUAAAGUUGAAUCCGAUUCGGGUCCGAGCUGUCAGGAGACCCGAAUUUGUUUUAAUCACCCAGGCCGCAUCCGGAGUCCAAAUCAAGCAAACAAGUACUUGUUGGAAAGGUAAUUACAAGACCUUUCCAACGGAUCUGGCCCCAUCAAGAGAUUCGACUCGUGCUGACCGUGGCGGACAAAACAAGCUGACGGAUCUGUUUUUCUGUUAGCUAAAGAGUUGUAGUUUGUUAGGAAAGUUAGAGAUAGAGUUGGAUUUCGGACUCCUUAUUCAAGGUGGACGAAAAUAUCUCUCCCUCCUCCUUUAUAUACCCCAUGAGCCCCCUAAGGAGCCUUGGGUUUUGUUUAGUUAAAAGUUAGCCAUUGCUACUACUUCGUGUAAUCGCGUGUGUCGGUUAGACCACCUGUUUUACCGCUUUCGGAACCCCAACUUAUCGUCUCGUUGAGACAUUGGUUUGAUAUAGUAUAUUCGCAAUUUUAGAUUGCAUCCGCUAUUUAUCCGCUAUUUAUACCCCAUGAGCCCCCCUAUGGAGCCUUGGGUUUUGAUUAGAUAAAGUUUAGCCUUUGCUACUUUCGUGUAAUCGCGUGUGUCGGUUAGACCACCUAUUUUACCGUCAUCAAGACUCCAACUAUAUUGAGUAUUCAGAUUCGUGAACCUUCAUAUCUCCUAUUCGCAAUUUCAGAUUGCUUUUCAUCUUGUUCUUGCUUGUUCUUCGAUUGCUUGCAGGAACAAAGACCUUCGUGGUCAGGUUGAUCGUGCCCCCGCGUGAUCAAUAACCCUCUGGAGUUGGUGUAUCGAUUGCUAAGGCGCUGCCUCCUAGGCCGUAGUUGGAUCGUCAACGUCACCUCCUACCCAAAUCGAGAGUUACCAAUCUCAUCGAAAGAUCGGGCCACCCGCACCCGUAUCACCUGUUCUAUUUGUGGAAAAGAAGGACAAGAGCCAACGGAUGUGCAUAGAUUAUCGUUCACUAAAUGAGGUGAUGAUAAAGAAAAAAUACCCCUUACCUAUAAUCAAUGAUCUAUUCGAUCAAUUGAAAGGAGCCUGUGUAUUCUCAAAGAUCGAUCUUCGAUCGGGUUAUUUUCAGUUAAAGAUCCGAGAAGCGGAUAUACCCAAGACAGCCUUUACCACUAGAUAUGGCCUGUAUGAGUAUACGGUGAUGCCUUUUGGAUUGACCAACGCACCGGCAUACUUUAUGAAUAUGAUGAAUAAAGUGUUCAUGGAAUAUUUGGACAAGUUUGUCGUAGUGUUCAUCGACGACAUUUUGAUUUACUCGAAGAGCAAAGAAGAACAUGAAGUACAUUUGCGUCUGAUUAUGGAAAAGCUCAGAGAACACAAGCUUUAUGCCAAAUUCAGCAAGUGUGAAUUUUGGUUGUCCGAAGUAGGUUUCUUGGGACACAUAGUGUCAGGAGACGGAGUUGCUGUUGACCCAGCUAAAGUAGCAGCGGUAACAGAAUGGGAAGCCUCUAAGAACGUCGGUGAUGUUCGCAGUUUCUUAGGACUUGCUGGAUGGAUACUAUAGGAGGUUCAUUGAGAAUUUUUCCAAGAUAGCAAAACCCAUGACUGAACUUUUGAAGAAAGAGAAGAAAUUUGAGUGGUCUGAUAAGUGUGAAGAAAGUUUUCAAGAAUUGAAGAAGAGAUUACUGUCUGCACCCAUCCUUGUUUUACCCAACUUGCUAGAAGAUUUCGAAGUGUACUGUGACGCCUCGCGUCUAAAAUUGGGCUGUGUUUUGAUGCAAGAAGGAAGAGUUGUGGCAUACGCCUCACGACAACUUAAGAGUCACGAAGGAAAUUACCCCACUCAUGAUUUGGAAGUAGCAUCUGUAGUGCACGCACUAAAAACUUGGAGGCACUAUCUCAUGGGAAAGCAUUGUGAAUUAUUCACCGAUCACAAGAGCUUGAAAUAUAUAUUCACGCAGAAGGAAUUGAACUUGAGACCAAGAAGAUGGUUAGAGUUAAUCAAGAAUUAUAAUUUGAAUCUGCAAUACCACCCAGGCAAGGCUAAUGUAGUAGCCGACGCUUUAAGCCGUAAAGGCUAUGUCAAUGGUCUUACAGCUGGAGAGUUACCCUCCGAGUUGUGCGAACAAUUCAAGGACUUCAGAUUGGAGAUAGUCCUGGAAGGUUAUCUGGCUAACUUGGAAGUACAACCCACCUUGUUGGACAGAAUUAGAGAAGCCCAGAAAGGCGACUCCGAAAUUAAGUAGAUAAAGGAUAAUAUGGUUGCCGGAAAGGCGAAAUGAUUCAUUGAGGAUGACCAAGGUACCAUAUGGUUUGAGAAAUGUAUUUGUGUACCACAGGACCCUGAGAUCAGAAAGUUUAAUACUUCAAGAGGCUCACGAUUCACCGUACUCGAUUCACCCUGGGAACACAAAAAAGUACAUGGACUUGAAAGAAAGAUUUUGGUGGACAGGGUUGAAGCGAGAUAUCGCUGAGUCUAUUGCUCUAUGUGAUGUAUGUAACAAAGUCAAGGCUGAACAUCAGAAACCAGCUGGAGUACUACGACCAUUGCCAGUGCCAAACUGGAAAUGGGAUAAAGUAGGCAUGGAUUUCAUCACCGGCUUGCCGAGGACAAGGUCUGGUUAUGAUUCGAUAUGGGUAGUAGUUGACCGUUUGACAAGGGUUGCUCAUUUCAUACCUGUGAAGACCACUUAUACAAGUGCUCAGUUGGCCAAACGCUACAUGCCUAGAAUUGUGUGCCUACAUGUUGAUAUGGACAUGCUAACCAUGGAUACGACCAUUAAAACCCUAAUUGUUGGUGUCUCUAAUAACAAUUAUAAUCAGGUGAAUUCAAUUACAAAAUGUUUUCAAUAUGUUACUUGCAAAGAGGCGGAGCUACUAUCUUUACAAGUCCAAAGUGAAGAUGAAGUGUGAUAGCCUGCAAAGGGAGAUUCAAAGUGAAGCCUAUCAAGUCUACUUUCCAACAAAUCAAACUGCACAUGAUUCGGAGCUUGCUAGAGAAAGAUAUCACGAAUUAAAGUUGAAUCCGAUUCGGGUCCGAGCUGUCAGGAGACCCGAAUUUGUUUUAAUCACCCAGACCGCAUCCAGAGUCCAAAUCAAGCAAACAAGUACUUGUUGGAAAGGUAAUUACAAGUCCUUUCCAACGGAUCUAGCCCCAUCAAGAGAUUCGACUUGUGCUGACUGUGGCGGACAAAACAAGCUGACGGAUCUGUUUUUCUGUUUCUUAAAGAGUUGUAGUUUGUUAGGAAAGUUAGAGAUAGAGUUGGAUUUCGGCCUCCUUACUCAAGGUGGACGAAAAUAUCUCUCCCUCCUCCUUUAUAUACCCCAUGAGCCCCCUAAGGAGCCUUGGGUUUUGAUUAGAUAAAGUUUAGCCAUCUUUGCUACUUUCGUGUAAUCGUGUGUGUCGGUUAGACCACCUGUUUUACCGUCGUCAAGACUCCAACUUAUCGUCUCGUUGAGACAUUGGUUUGAUAUAAUAUACUCACAAUUUUAGAUUGCAUCCGCUAUUUAUCUUGUUCUUGCUUGUUCUUCGAUUGCUUGCAGGAACAAAGACUUUCGUGGUCAGAUUGAUCGUGCCCCCGCGUGAUCAAUAACCCUAUGGAGUUGGUGUAUCGAUUGCUAAGGCGCUGCUUCCUAGGUCGUAGUCGGAUCGUCAACGUCACCUCCUACCCAAAUCGAGAGUUAGCAAUCUCAUCGAAAGAUCGGGCCACCCCGACCCACAUCACGUGGUAUCAGAGCUUAAGGUUGCUCGGUGAGAUUUUUCCAGUUUAUCCGUAGUUUAGAUCAAUUUUUACCUAUCGUCCAGAAAAAGCCAAACAAACAUUAGAAUUAGUUACCUUGUCCUAGAGCCAAUCUGAGCCUUGCAAUUUUCACAUUAGUAUUUGCAUUGUUGAAUCUUUGUUGCAUUAAUCGUGUCGAGUUGCUGGAUUAGAUUGGAUCGUUUUUCAGAUUUUUUCUACUAGAUCGAACUUGUUUUUGGUUUUCUUGUUCUUCGUGUGAGGCAGGUUUCCUUCAUCAAUAUUCCGCCGCCAAACUUCCUGCCACACCACCGCCAUAAUCUCCCGUCGCCACCAUAUCUUCCACCGAGUCCUUCUUCGAGUCCUACACCGUGUCCCUCGUCAAGUCCUACACCGUGUCCCUCUUCGAGUCCUACAUCGAGUCGGCAAGUUAUAGUUUUCAGCCGCGAGUCCGAGUCCGAGUCCAAUCAAGAGUGCUUUUGGAAAAUGUUUCAUAAUAGAUCGAAUUUUCUUUAGAGAUCAAGUUGUUCGGAAAGUUGUGAAAAAAAAGAAAGGAAAGAAAAUAAAAGGAAAGAAAGAAAAAAAAAACGAAAAAAAAGAGAAAGAGUUCGAGUCAGUUUCUCGGACCCGAGUCCGAGUAGAAUUUUAGUUUCGGGUGGGUUUGACCCGUGUUCAGUAAAACGGACAUAUCUUUUGCGUACCAACUCGGAUUUGGACGUUCUUGGACUUUUUGCAAAGCUCACGACAAGGUGCAUCAGGAAAUAUCCAGGAGUUUGCCCUGCACUUUGACCCUCAAAUUCGGUUUAUAAGGUGGACUUUCGGAGCUUCCAAGUUUCUGCAUCCGUUUUUCGGCGUCGCUGCAGCCCGGUGUUUUUCAGUUUUCUCCACCGUCCGACAUCCGUUUUGAGUCAUCUUGCCCUUGCUGGAAAGUUUGUGUCGAUACGCUUCUAACCCAUAUUUUUCCAUAUUUUUCUGAAUUUUCCUUACUGCAGCCUUUGCUGUUCUUCGAUAGACCGACAUAUAAUUUUCCGGUCCUUCUUUUGCGUGAGUUUCUGAGGUUAAAAAAAAGAAAAAAGAAUAAGAAGCCAAACAGAAGGCCACAAAAAGAAAAAGAAAAAAAAUCCCAGGGAUUUACUUGUUGUGCCAUCUUUUGAUCUAUCUAUUUCUACCUUUUUCAGUAUCUAGGCUUAGAUUAUUUCUGUAAUUCGUUUUUUUCGACUCCAGCAGCUAGGACUAGCAUUAUUGAGCAUAUUUUCAACUUCGCAUUGCUGAUUUGAUUAUUUGCUAUUCCUUGCUACUCACAAAAGCCUCCAAGCUCCACAGAUUCUACACCUAGGUUGUUUGUUACUGAGGCAUCGAUACAUUUAAUAUUCGGAGGGCUUGGUCAUCCCGCUGGCCAUCACCUUCCUGUUUUGCAUGGUAAGAACUUGAUUUUUAGCUUGAGAGUUGAGCGACUUGUAGCCAAUAAUUGUUGAUAGGAACAUAUUCCUGUGUUUUGUUUCUUGUCUUAUACCUAACCAUGACAGGACUUACACGAAGGAUGGAAAAUACGCUUAUGCUAUCAAGCGACCGACAUGAGCGUUUUUCACCACAUCCAUCCUCCUCGUCUCUUGUUGACAUUGGCAAGGCAAAGGUAUAUCGCAAUCCUUGUAAUGUCAAUAAUUGUUUUGGACCUUUCUUUGAUGGAAAGAAUGAUGUUGAAGCUUAUAUUGAUUAGGAAAUAGCUCUAAUUGAGCAAUUCACAUGCUUCCAUGUACUAGAUAGUCGUAAGGCCCAAAUUGCUAGUAGUAGAUUUCGUUUUGAUGCAUUAUCAUGGUGGAGUGAGAUAGUUAGAGAAAACAAAAUACCUCACACUUGGAUUUAUAUGAAGAAAAUCAUGAGAGAAAAAUAUUUUCCUCCAAGUUAUGCUUAUGAGUUGCGUUCCAAAUUACGACGUUUGACACAAGAUGAUACACCAACUCCACAGGGUUAUUGAUCACACGGGGGCACAAUCAACCUGACCACGAAGGUCUUUGUUCCUGCAAGCAAUCGAAGAACAAGCAAGAACAAGAUAAAUAGCAGAUGCAAUCUAAAAUUGCGAGUAUACUAUAUCAAACCAAUGUCUCAAUGAGACGAUAAGUUGGAAUCUUGACGACGGUAAAACAGGUGGUAUAACCGACACACGCAAUUACACGAAAGUAGCAAAGAUGGCUAAACUUUAUCUAAUCAAAACCCAAGUCUCCUUAGGGGGGCUCAUGGGGUAUAUAAAGGAGGAGGGAGAGAUAUUUUCGUCCACCUUGAGUAAGGAGGCUGAAAUCCAACUCUAUCUCUAACUUUCCUAACAAACUACAACUCUUUAAGAAACAGAAAAACAGAUCUGUCAGCUUGUUUUGUCCGCCACAGUCAGCACGAGUCGAAUCUCUUGAUGGGGCCAGAUCCGUUGGAAAGGACCUGUAAUUACCUUUCCAACAAGUACUUGUUUGCUUGAUUUUGACUCCGGAUGCGGCGUGGGUGAUUAAAACAAAUUCGGGUCUCCUGACAGCUCGGACCCGAAUCGGAUUCAACUUUAAUUCGUGAUAUCUUUCUCUAGCAAGCUCCGAAUCAUGUGCCGUUUGAUUUGUUGGAAAGUAGACUUGAUACGCUUCACUUUGAAUCUCCCUUUGCAUGCUAUCACACUUCAUCUUCACUUUGGACUUGUAAAGUUCCAUAAGAUGCCUACAUAAUAAGAUUACACAAGAUAGUAGCUCCGCCUCUUUGCAAGUAACAUAUUGAAAACAUUUUGUAAUUGAAUUCACCUGAUUAUAAUUGUUAUUAGAUACACCAACGAUUAUGGUUCUAAUGGUCGUAUCCAUGGUUAGCGUGUCCAUAUCACAAAGCCCCGUGCUACGACAUCUGGCGCGCCAAGCAGGGGGCACAUGAGGAGAGCUCGCCGGUGACCGCCGGUGCCGUCGUCUAUGUCGACAUCAGCCUUGUCUACUCCAACAGCGGAGCCAACCACCAUGCCCCCUAAGCGGGCUAGUGACCCCCGGAUCGAUCCGCGUGAAGCCCCAGCGGCACACACGCGGUCGCAUGACGCGCAGCCCGCUUCACGGGCUCAGGAAAAUCCUGAGCCCUCACGAGCGCAGCAGUCGCCGCUGCCCCCCCCCCCCGCCUCCUCGGCCGUCGGUAGACAACCGGCUGAGGGGGCCGGCGGCUCCCAGUUGUAAGACCCCGGGACCGGAAUUAUAAAAUUUAGGCCCAAAUUGCUAACCUUUGCAUAAUUCAAGCCUCAGGUUCUUAACCUACGAUAAACACCUCAAUACAUACACGCAUUAAUGCGCUCAUCGCAGGAUUUUGCAACAUGAAUAUCAUUACCAAAACUCUACAGAAGAGAGUAAUUACAAAGCUCAUACAAGGUGAUACGGGUGCGGGUGGCCCGAUCUUUCGAUGAGAUUGGUAACUCUCGAUUUGGGUAGGAGGUGACGUUGACGAUCCGACUACGGCCUAGGAGGC